UCCUGUUCUCGCACCAACAAUUAAGUUAGCGACUCUUUCCCUGUUGAGGUGGGGAUUUCCCGUCUCGUUGGAGUCAGAUGUGGGGCUCUUGCAGGACCCACCAGCCAUGCCAACCACUACAAGACGGGGUGCGAGCUACGGCAGGCACACAAGGUCGUUUCUAACACAUCGGUCAAACAUGAACCGUUAACGUUAACGACGAAAAGACACGAAUGCCCUUCCUUUGGAAUUCCCAAACCGCGAUGGUGAGAAGAUACCGUAAACGGCACGCCACCCAUUGCGUCCCCGUUCAGAGCCCAAAAGGUCACCACGAAAUAUGAGGAACAGAAAGCUUAAUUACAACCAAUAAAGCAAUAUAACAGGAAAAACAGUUAAAAAAAGAACAGAAAGCUUAUCACAACCGAUCAAGCAACAUUAAAAAAAAAGGGUAAAAAAAGGAGUUUUAGUACUACACUAAAAAAAUUAGAAAAAGGAAAAAGAGGAAGAAAUGAAAAAUAUGAUUGAACGAAAGGAAUUAAACCAGAUAAAAGAAUAUAUUGGAACAAGUAUUAUUACGUACGUGCAGGAGUCACCGACGUUGCCGCCGCAUUGGUGGAAGGACAUGACGGCCUGGACUUUGAGGCCGAUACGGCGGGCCAUCUCCAUGAGGUCGUCGUAGCCGCCCCACUCGUAUUCUCCCGGCCGCUCCCGCUCCACCAAUCCCCACCACACGUCCACCAUCACCCCCUCAACGCCGGCGCUCUUCAGCGCCAUCAGGCUCGCGUUCAUCGCCUUCCUCCGGUUCAACCCUCCCCCCGGCCGCACCGUGUCCAGCGGCAGCAUCACGUACACGGGCACCCCCUUCCCCUUCCCCGCCCCUCCCUCUCCGCCGCCCCCGAGGUACUCCCUAACCACCUUCUCGUCGGCCGUCGCCGGGUCCACGUCCGCCACCAGCGCCUGGCACGCCACCGACAGAUCGGGUCUCGUUGCCGCCAGCGCCGGCGAUCGGCACGGGCUCAUCGGCGGGGACACCGAGUCGAGUUCCCCCUGCCCCGAAGCCCGCUGGAUCCGACACCGGAGGUUCGGCGCCCCCGUCGUCUGGGGCUUCCGCAUAGCCGCCGUGCUCACCGCCGCUGCCGAUGACUGAUCGCCCCCGGCGGCUGCAGCCGUCUCCGACACCACCGGCGUCCCACACAGCGUCCCGAUCUGGUGAGACAAAUGAAGCGCCAUUCGAUUGCAAUCCCCCUUUUCUUCUUCUUAUUCUCUCUCUCUCGAAUCAAAACGAUUUCGAAUCGGAUUCACGAUGGUGAACGAUGCAGGUGAGGCGGCGGAAGGCGCUCGGCUUUAUAACAGGAGAGCGGGGUCGGUUGCGCCACGCGUCGAGCGUGGGGCGGCGGGGGGACCUGCGGCUACGAUGGCUCACUGCUCGGUUUCGAGAAUGGGCGGUCGGAUCUUGUCCGAGCGUGAGCGUAUCCCGUGUUCGGAUGGCUUCUUCACCCGCCGACCAAUAGCAUCCCUCCACGUAAAGAUUUCGAAAAGGAUACGCGUUUGACAGGACGGUAAGCACCGUCCACGGAACGAGUUCAGCGGACACGUGACUGGCGUAGAUCGUUCCUCACCACUCGGAUCCCGUGAGGCCGACGCAUAUAGCGAGAGAAGCGUGAAAAUGGUGACGGUGAUGGGGAAUAGUUGAUAUCAGCAGUCCAGAUUGAUCUCCUACGGUCCCGUAUGAGACUUGGAAGCUGACCCAAGAAGAGGCGCAUGUGAGGAAGAUAGAUAAGGGUUCAGCUCCGCCCACUUGGAUGACGAGAGAUUUCGAAAUCAUGUGAUCGAUUACUUAGUUGAUUCACUGAUUUGUUUUGAUCCCGAAGGUUCAUGAAUCAAUGGUGACCAAUCGAACACAAUACAUUUAUUGUGGUUUGGAGUAAUGUGGUUAAUUAAAUGGUAAGAGUGACAUUCGGACGUAAAUUGCAAAAGCUUUGUUUUUAUUGCCACGUCACUCUUCAUAGAACCAUCAGAUCUAUAUUAUCAUGUCUAUGUUCUUCGUUACCAUCAUGGCAUCAGGUCCAUGUUAUUAUGACAACUCUUCAUAGAUGAAGUCGUUUGCAUCAUGGGGAUCUAUACUUUGAAAAAGGAUUGGCGAUAAAUAAAACAACAAGCCCUUGCAGGUGUUAAUUCAUCAAAUCUUGUACUUUCUAGCUUUUCGAAUUUAUAGGCUGUCACAUGGAAAUGUUUAGUCAAGCCAUCCGAUUACUAGGGCUAAAAGCUGACUCCAUCCACGGGUAGUCCUUUCCUACUCGAGCCCUCUCACCCUGCCCAAGUGCUAGGUCGGCUUUGAAUUUCAUAUCAAACAGAUAGAAGGUGAAGUGGGAUUUCAAACAUAAUAUGGUCCAUCCAUUUCUGCACAUACCCUUUACCAUUUCUGGCAAAGGUCCAAAUAAUCCCACAAACACCAGAGUACAAAAGGGUAUUGUGAACAAUAAAUUGGGACAUAUCAGAAGCACACACGAAACAACAAAACAUACAUGUGCAUUUACGAGUCAAUGCGAAGUAAGCAAUAAUCUUUCACAAUUGUAUUCAGAUUUAAAAGGAAAUGAAAGCAAGAGCAUUCAAGGAUUCCAAGCAAUCACAUAUAACUCAAUUCAAAUAAGAAGGUUAGAUGAAUUCAAUGUCUAAAGGAAUGAAACUGGAAUAGGCACAUAUCGAAUGCAAAUGCGGAACAAUGGGAUAUACAUGUGCCUAUAUGAGUCAAUACGAUACAAAUCAAUUUCCAAAGGAAUGAAACCAGAAUAUGUGAAAUCGACCAAAACUCGAUUUCUAGUAGAAUUCAAGAGGCACAUUGAACAAAUGAUUCAAACUAUCAAUUGUGCUCCAAUAUACUCAAGAAAGCUAUCAAAAGAAAGGUUUAUGAGUCUAUAUUCUGAUCAAAUAAGUUUUAUCCAAAUCAGAGGUCAAUACGUGAAGUUAUAAUCAUACAAAGGUAGAAAGGUCAGAAUCUCAGGAGUUGCACAGAUUCGAAUCGUUACGUCUAAACAGGAGAUAUAUCAAAUACAAGGUUAGAACAAGUCAAAGUUCCUCAUAUUCAAAGCAAAUGUAGAGGUAAAAUUGCAGUAAGGAAAGAUCAAGACACUUGCAAUAGAAAAGAUUAGAACAAUAACAGGAGAAACGAGCACUAAACCCUGUGCAGGAUCCAAAUAUCGAUAGGUUUUUAAAAACCUAUCGAUAGGUUUAUCGGUGAUUUCCUCAGAUUAGACACUAAGGGGCUUAUGGCCACUUGCAAAAAUCAGAAUUUAGCAUUGUCUAAAUGUGACAAAUCUCACAGAUCACAAUAAAUUGCAGAUCGUUUUGAACUACUACCAAGGGGACAAUUUAAAUUAAGAGUUAGAAAGACAUUUCCUGGUAUAAUUUAUUCCGCUGGGCAUCCAAACAUGCUGCAGAAAGCUCACUAAAUAGAAAGAUAUAGAACUGAAAACGAGUAAAGAGUGUAGCUAAAACAAUUUUGAAGUAAUCCAAACAUUCUGCAGAAAGCUCAUUAAGGAAUGACUCCUUAAUGACAACAAAGGAGUGUAGCCAGAAAAAAACGAACUUUAUUUUUUUUUAGUUGCUACCAAUCAAGUUCAGUAUUUCAUUUGCUACAAUUUGCAAAAUAUGAAAUUUGGAUUCUCUUCAAAAUAAACUUUAAGUAAAAAAAUGGUAUAUUAGAUAUUUCAUUUCUCAAGCUAGAAAUGAUAGCUUUCCUUGACAACCAUAGCAGUAAACAUCUAUGUAUGUAUUUUGUCAAAUUGGUACAAAGAAUUUACCAUGUAUUUGAAGGUUGUCGGCAGUACAAAUGUGUUUGCCGUGGCUGAAAAUGUACUCUUUUAUGGUAGAUCAACAUCCUGAAAAAUGAAUGUGAUGUCACAAUGAUCCCCUUGAGGCAACUCAGGGCUCAAAUCAGUGCUUGGAGCACUACUACCUUCAGUAACAGGCGAAAUGAGUCCCUGCCACCUUUCAUCUUGCCUUUCUUAUGCAACACACCAGCAAAGAACCUUGGUCAUCUCGCUUGGGAGGCCUGCUGAAGUCCGGAAACAGAACCGGAGCAGCUAGUGCUAAAGCUGAUUUGGGUCUUGUUGGCCUCUUCCUCUGCUGCUUGGCAUAGCCUGGAUUAGCAACCCAGCUUGUGCUGUUCGUUAUGGAUGAAGGAAACCACUUGUCUCUUGCCUCUCUUUCCUUGCAUACAAAACUAGCCUAACUUACUUGCUUUUAUACCAAAUACCAAAAAUCAAAUUCAAUAUUAAUAAUCAAGGAUCAUUCUAUAUCAGAUGAGACUUAUGUCUGUCACUCUCGAAUUUUCCCCCUCCUCUACAGAAGUCAUCUUUAUAAAUCCAGCAAAAAUAUUCUUUAUGCAUCAUCUAGUUUUUGUUACUUCACCAUUAUCUGGCAAAUUCUGUGGGGAGACAGGUGAUCACGCUUCCAUCAAUCCAGCUAACUCAUCCAAGAGCUCAUAAAUCUGCUCAACCUCAGGGUGGACUGUAUCGCCCGAAUAGAACUGGUGAACCUUCUUUUCUACCUCAAUCCAACUACACCCUGGCAACUUCUUUCCUCCCAAUUCCUUCAACAUCUUUCUGACCUUCCCUACAUCUUCCCACUUGCCACAUUCACUAUAUAAGUUUGCUAGCAUGACUCCAUAGUCAGCACUAUUAGGUUCAAUCUCAAGCAGCUUCUUUGCUGACAAUUCAGCCAAUUCUCUAAUGCCAUGGAUCCUGCAACCGUUGAGCAAAGAACCCCACACGACUUCAUCAGGCUCGAUUCUCAUGUCCCUCACAAUAUCCAUUGCUUCAUCAAAUCUACCUGCCCGGCUAAGGAGGUCAAUGAUACAGCCAUAAUGCUCGAUCUCGGGAUCAAUUUUAUAGUCCUGAAACAUGGAUCUGAAAUAACUAAGCCCUUCAUCCACCAACCCUCCAUGAGUACAUGCAUUUAGAAGACCCACAAAAGUGACCUCAUCAGGUUCAGGGCCAGUGAGUUCCAUCUUUUUGAAGGUUGCGAUGGCCAGACCACUGUGUCCUUGGAGAGCCAAGCAAUUGAUCAUAGAAUUCCAGGACAUAAGGUUUUUGUCGGUCAAUGCCGAGAAUAUCCAACUUGCCUUCUUCACGCCACCACAUUUUCCAUACAUAUCGAUUAGUCCAUUCGCAACAAAGGGACUAUGUUCCAUGUGGUUCUUGUAGACAUAACCAUGCACCGAUCUCCCAAGCCGGAGCAUACCAAGGUGUCCGCAAGCAGAGAGCACGCAUGACACAGUCGUCUGAUUCGGCCGUGCACCCUCCAGGACCAUCCUACAGAAGAAAGAGACUGCCUCCGAGAAGAGACCAUUCUGGGCGCACCCGGAGAUAACUGCAUUCCACGAUGGAACAUCCCUCUCGGGCAUUUCCCCGAACAAGGCAAUGGCCUUCCCGAUCUGCCCGACCCGCGUGUAUCCAGACAGCAGAGCUGUCCAGGAAACCACAUUCCUCUGAGGCAUUCCAUCGAACAGAGCACGAGCGGCGGCCAUGUCGGAAAACCGAGAGUAAGCAUCGAGAAGCGAGGUUUGCACCACGCCAUACCCAUCGAAUCCGGUCUUGGCGACGCGGGAGUGAACGGACUUAACCAGCCGGAGAUCAGCGCCGUCGGAGCAGGCCUUGAGGACGCAGGGAUAGAUGAACUCGUUGGGGCCGGGUCGGGCUCGGCGGAGCAUGAGGGCGAAGAGGCGGAGGGCGGCGUGGGAGUCGGGGCGGGAGGCGUAGGCGGUGAGCAUGGCGGUGUAGAGGAAGACGUUGGGGGAGGCGAGGCUGUCGAAGAUGAGGCGGGCGUAGGUGAGGUCGGCGAGGGCGAGGGCGGAGAAGCGGACGAGCUUGAAGGCGUAGAGCUGGGUCUGGCCAUGGCCCAGGGCAAGGAGGAAGGCCUGGAGCUGCUUGAGGUGGCUCAGCGUGGUGCAUUUGCCCAGUAGGAAGACGACUCGCUCGUUGAGGGUGACGGUCGGCUGAGGGGUCGAAGCGCACCACAUCGUCACACUUGUGUUUGUUCCUUGAAACCAACCUUUCUAUUCCCUCAAUAAAUCGUUAUAAAUAACCGUCGUAACGGAAUUUUUUCAAACAAUACACGUUGAUAGAGGAUAAAACUAAUCAUUCCAAAGUCUACACGUCAACACCUCCACCUCAGUGGCUAAUAGUGCCAUGUAACCAUACAGGAGGUCGUUAUGCCACUCGAUAGGUAGUUGUUGAGCCACCUCAGUAGGAGGUUUAUGUCAUCUUUGCUGAUGCCAUUUAGUAGACGGUUACGUUCAUAAAUAUCUUAAUAAAUAUUUUAUCUUAUAUUUAUAUAUUUUCUCUAUAUCUCAAAUUGAUUUAGACAAUAAUGAGACUAGGUCGGGCUUAUAUUGAUCUUCAUCUUUUGUAAAAUCUCAAAUGAUACAUCGAAAGAUCGGAAAGCAUUCAGACUCCAUCGAUCGAUUCCUCUCUUUCUUUGAACAUCGAGUCGGAACCUAAUUCGAGUAGGAAAAUAAAUAUGGAUAUAAAAGGGAUUUAAAUACUUGAGUAGCUAUCAGUUAGCGGUUAGUAUGAGACUCAUGAAAGCAUCAACUGUCAUCAUUCUUCUACUGCGGUCUAGGUUAAGUCAUGACAGGAAGUCAACUAGAAUCGACGACUUUAGGAGCAGUCAAAUGGACAGAGAGACGUCGUUGUUCUAAGCGUUGAGAAACGCAUGCAUUGAUGACUUCCGAAGGAGUCAACUUGAAUCAAUGUACAUACACUACAUAUAGUUUUCAGUCCUCUACCAGCCAACGAAUUGCAAUGCGGCAAUUUAUAGAGUGAAUAGUGAACAAGUUGGCCAAACAAUAAAUUAUAUGUGCGUAUAUAAUAUUGCUCAACAACUAGGAUUAAGUUUUAACUCAAAUUUGAUGAUGGAUGAUUGCUACAAAACCCAUUGGAUCGGACAAAAAAAAUAGAUCCUCGAUGAAAUCAUUUAGAUCUAAAAAAGAUUGAAGUAACCUCAAAAUUGUUUUAACUUUUUUUAGAACGUUUAAUUAUUUUUCAUUGUAAAUUUGAAAGACAAGAAAAUCAUAUUAUGUUUGUCACUCUCUCGUUGCGUUUGUUAUUUUAUAAUUCACCCCUAUCAUCCUUCUUAAUUAUUGUUCUCUCAAUUAAUUUCAUUAAUUAACCACGUUUUUAUAUUUAUAAAAUAGUAUAAUUUUAUAUUCUAUUCUUAGUUAAACUUACAAUUUGACAUGUCGACUAUACAAUAAUCUAAUGAUCUAAGACUUGACCUAAGUUGAUAUCUAAUCAUGGUAUAAUAAUAACCAAGUUGUAUGCACAUGAUUUAUAAUUUUGUGACUAAAACUUUGGAAAUGAUCAAUAAAACAUCACAAAAUUAUAUCAAUAUGGCUAAAGGAUAUCGAAAAUUUGAAGAGUAAAAUAAUGGCCCAGUUAUUCAUCCAACAUCGUCGCUCAGAUGUUCAUGUAAAAGAUGUUCAUGUUGUACCGAUAAAUUUAAUUUAAUUCGAUAAGAAAUCUUCAAGAGAGAUAAAAAAAAUAUGAGAUGUUCGAUUAAAAUUGAUUUACGUUGAGAUCGAGAUCGGAUGAAGUUCUUAAUGUGGUCCCUCAAGCACUUAAAUAAAUCGACAAGUUGAUAACGAAAUAAAAUAAAAAUCUUGAUUAUUAUGAUCUAAUGGCUUUUAUAAUUGAUUCAACUAGAAGAAAUAUUCUACCGUAUAAACAGAAUAUCUUUUAAUAUUUUAUGUUAAAUCAAUAUCUAUAUGACUCAAUCGUUGACUAUAUCCGUGACCACCACCACCUCAUGAUCAGAUUGCUACAUCUCUAGUCCUUGGAGAGCACUUAUAGUGACGUUCAACCAUAUACUUCUAAAGUGCCAUUGUCAUAAUCUAAGCCUAAAUAAGAGAACUCGUAUCUUAUCCAUGACUUGGACAAAGUCUGUACUCUUUACGUGCAAUUACAAUUAUUGUUCUGAAUCAUAUAUUUUGGGAACAUUACACUAUUUCCCACAUAAUUUGAGAGAUGACAAGAUUCCCUCGUCUUUGCUUUUAUUUGUUAUCUGAGUUUAAAGAACAAACGCCCACCAAACGACGUGACGUGACGUAAUUAAUCCUUUUCAAUGCCACUUAAAAGCCAAAUGCAAUGAGUUUGACUCUUGCAGACAUUAUUGCAUGCUGUGGAUUUUGCCAAACAGAUGGAUCCAUGUCUGAGAUGCUCUCUCUCUCUCUCUCUCUCUCUCUCUCUCUCUCUAGUCUCAAGUUUCUAUAUAACGCACUACCGUGCACCUUGGAACUUCUCACUCCAAAGAAACCAAGGUCUUCGAAAGCUUAGCUCAAGAGCGACAAUGGCAUGGAGCUGGUCACUGAGCUUCCUCUUCUCUGCUGAGAUACUCUUCUCUGCUGCUUGCCUCCUACUCUUCUCCUCCUACAUAUACCGAAGCCGGAAGAACCAGCUUCCGGUGGACUGGCCCGUCGUCGGCAUGCUUCCUGGUUUAUUAUCCCGCAUCCAUGGUGUCCAUGAAUAUGGAGUAGAAAUCCUCACCGCGUCCAACUGGACCUUCAUGUUCAAAGGCCCAUGGUUCCUGGGCAUGGACAUGUUGGUGACGUGCGAUCCGGCUAACGUGAACCAUGCUUUCGUUGCCAAGUGCUCCAACUAUCCCAAGGGGAAGGAGUUCACGGAGAUCUUCGACAUGUUUGGCAACAGCUUGAUCAACACCGACGGCGAGGAAUGGAAGAUGCAGCGGAGGAUGACGCAUAGCCUGAUGAGCAAUCAGAACUUCCGCUACUACGAGCUCAACACUGUCCGAGACAAGGUGGAGGGGGCGCUCCUCCCUCUUCUGCGUGGCGUGGCCGAGAGAGGUAACGCAGUGGACCUUCAGGACGUGUUCCUGAGGCUAACCUUCGAUGUCUCUUGCUCGUUGAUUCUCGGCGUCGAUCCCGGAUGCCUCGCCGAAGGCUUCCCGGUGGUGCCGUUUGCCAAGGCGUUGGACGACGCCCUGGAGGUGAUAUUUUUCCGGCACACGGUUCCGAUGAGUGUUUGGAAGGCGAUGAGGUGGCUGGGAGUGGGUAAAGAGAGGAAGAUGGCCGUGGCGCAGAAGGUGAUGAACCAUUUCGCGGCGAGUACGAUCGCGAAGAGGAAAGAGAAGAUCAACGGGGAGAGAAGCCACAAGGAUGGCGGACACGAAGAGGGAGAAGCAGCAGGCGACAUGUUGACCGUUUACAUGCAUCAACCCAACGGGAAGAACCGGCUCGAAUUCGACAGGUUCAUCGAGGACAACGCCAUCGACCUACUGCUCGCCGGGAGAGACACCACCGCGGCCGGUCUCACCUGGUUCUUCUGGCUCCUCACCUUGCACCCGGAGGCGGAGCAGAAGAUUCUCGAGGAGCUGAAAGCAAACUGGCCAAGAACAGACCUACACGCCAACGCGCCGUUCGAUCGAGACGGGCUGGGGAAGCUCGUCUACUUGCAUGCAGCCCUGUGCGAAAGCCUGAGGCUGUACCCGCCCGGCGCCAUCCAGCACAAAGGAGUUGCCGAGCCCGACACGCUGCCAAGUGGCGAGAAGGUGCGGCCCGGGACGAAGCUACUGUUUCACCUCUACUCCAUGGCGAGAAUGGAGGGGAUAUGGGGGAAGGACUGCGCGGAGUUCAAGCCCGAGAGAUGGAUCACGGAGACUGGAGAGCUCAGGCACGAGCCGGCGCACAAGUUCUUCGCCUUCAACUGCGGGCCGAGGAUCUGCCUGGGGAAGGACAUGGCUUUCACCAUCAUGAAGACCGUCGCCGUCGCCAUGCUUCGUAGCUUUCGCUUUGAGGUGGUGAAGGGGCAUGUGGUGGAACCCAGGCUCUCCAUAGUCCUUCACAUGAAGAACGGCCUGAUGAUGAAGGUGAGGAAGAGAGAGAGGAGUUGGUGAGGAGAGUGCGUGCAUGGGUAGAUCUUGAUGUUUGUGUUCUGUGUUGGAUAGUUAAGGUGGAGUUGGCAAGUAGAGUAUGGUUUAGUUUGGAGUCCAAGAUAUGUAAUGCUGUGUAAGUUGUUUGGGUCUGGAGUUUCCCUUUCUGCAGGAAUAUUAGCAAUAUAAAGGAGUGGUUGAACCAUCAGCAUAACAUUAUAAACAAGAGUAUUAGAUUUGGAUUGAUGUUCUUCCAAAACCGUUGAGAAAUAAUACAACAGAUAUUAUGAUAUUGAUGUUCCGACUGAUAUCAUAGUAUUCUUGGAGGUGGUGGAACUGGUGACAGUUAAGCGCAAGGGAAAUAAACAGAUACGAGAAGGCUAAUGCGCACAGGUACAGAAACCAAAUCAACAAAUAUCAUGAACAAAGUGCCAAAAUUUUCACCAAACAAACCUCAAAUCAAAAUUUUCUGACUAGACUUGGCGAUCAAUGCCAAAAGUUGCACGGUACAACUUCCGUUAAGACUUUGAUCUCUGAGCUCCAAACUGAAAGUGCAGAUCGAACUCCAUGAUGCUACUGAGACACCUUGUUUUUAUUAGUGUUUAAUGUCCAUCUCAUUUCCUCCGUGAAUACUUAAUCUGAAGCCGUUUGCUUCAAGGAUGAAUUCAAAUAUGAAAUGUGGCAAAGUAAACAGUACAUGUAAUCUUUAGGGCAAGAUAUUAAUUGAUCAAGUACUCGCCAAUAAGAUACGCUAGUUGAUACCCUCUCUCGCCUUUUUUCUAUCUUUUCUCUGUUUCUCACGCUGACCUGGUGCAUAAGAAGCAGAUCUUAUAAUCAAACAAAUAGUGCACCAAUAAAAGCUAGAAGCUAGAGCAAGAGAGAGUGUAACGUACGCCUUUUUUCAUCCCUCUUUUUACGCUUCCAGGUUUCAGCCUGCCUUCGCGUUUCUCUCUUUUUGUCUACAUUAACACAAACCUGGCGAGAGUGUUAAAAAUGGCAGGUUGUUAAAAAGAAUGAGAAUAAAGCACCAAGGAAAGAUUGUUGCAACAGAUCUCCCAACCCAUGAUGAGUUGGGCAACUUGAAAGCUCUCUAUCAAAUUCUCAAGAACUAUAAUAAAUAUAUCAAAUAAAUCAUCAGGAAAUUCAGCAAUGAUGAACUAAGUAGUCAAGGUGACUAUUACUAGUUCAACAAAGCACAAGUUCUCUCUUGUGAAAACAUUCUUGAAUGCGUACCAACAAAAAGCAAAUGAUGAGGAGAAAUAUUGUCCUUUUUAAUGUUAAAACAAUUCAGUUGAUUUGUCGUUAACCAUGACCUCAACUGACAGCAAUAACUAAAAAACUAUUACCUCAUAUAAAUCAGAAACAAAGAAACAAUACAGAAGGAUGGAGAUGCAAAUAAUAGUUCUAGAGAAACCAAAGCUACUGCAGUCCAAGACAUCUUCAACAGAAAAGCCAGAAUUUUUGUGAUCCGACACUUUUUAAACAGACCAAAUAUGAUAGGUUCAUAUGAAGCAUUCACUCGGUUUGCACGAUUACUAACACAAAGCAAAAUAGGCCACAGACAGAAAGUUGAUAAUUGGAGUAGAAAUUUGGUAACUUCAUGUUCUGAGAUUCAUCUAGAUUCUAAAAAACUAUCCAAAUUCCUUUAACUAGCCUGACAUGGAUCCACGAAAAUCACAUACAUUAAUGAUAUGAUCAGCAUCAAAGAAUUUCAGUGAAGUAUAGUGAAGUGGUGCGUGAAAUGUUCUCACAUCAAAAUUCCAGUAAAUAUUAAAUAUCAAGCUGCAUCAAUGAUGCAGAUAAUUUGCAUUGCAAAUGAGUAGGCACUAAAAAAGUCACUUCAGAAAAGAGUUACAACAAUGUCAGAAAAGGUGUUCAAGUAAAAAAAUAAAAAAACAAAAACCAGUUUAUAAUUUACAUCACCAUACCUCAUGACCAGAACUGCGAAGAGCCUGAAGUGGUUCAACAAAAUCCUGACCAAUAACCACAAAACCAGCCCUCUUACUAGAGUUGUUAGCAUCAACAGUGUUCAUCUUCGAUAACUGUUCAAGUUGCUGCUGAACGAGAGGAGAAACACCGGCCUGAUGAAAUCCAAAUACAAUAACUAUGAAGCACACUGGUUGAAUAAGAGAUUAGGAAUCCAAGAUUUCUACUGAUAAAAACCACAAAUGCUACUAGAAAAGAUGAUCUCCAUGAUGACGACAAAAGUUAACAUGCUUUUAUUCGGCACAUAUUAAAUUUAAUAAUUCCGAAAACAAAAACAUACUUCACUAAAACAUCUAGAAUUUUUGCAAACAUCUAAAAUAUUGGAUAUUUAUAUUAUAUAUAUAUAAACACUGUACAGAUGCAUAAACCCUCACAAAUUGCAUUUUCUAAAGUGCAAUAAGAUGAAUUUAGAUUUAGGAAUUCCAAUGCUGUUAAUAUCCAUUCAAUUUUGCAUCUAACUUGCUCCAAAGGGACUGCAAGCAGAACCACACAGUACAUAACAUUAUGCAGGGACUGUAUCACACUCCAUAAAACUUUUAGCACAAUUAGAAAAAUUCAAUAAUGCAAUUCAAUACAUUGAAAAGAAGAUGGCAAUAAUUCGCAUCACACCUAAGUAGCAUUUUGCAAAUAAUCCAAAAAAGGAAAUCAUUGACCCCAGAUAGUCUGCAACUGACUAAAGAUCAUGAAACAACCACAAAAAUACAGAAUACAUAUUUUAGUAUGGAACAUGAAAUUUAAGAAGACCAAAUUUUACUUUAAAAAAUUUCCAUACUACUUCCAUGACAUUUUGCAGGGAUGACAAGAGAGUCCAAGUAAAACUGUCAAAGUUGAAAAGCUGAACAUCAAAUAUCAGUAAAUUCAUCUAGCACAAAAAAGCACCCAUGCAUGCCCAUCUCUACUUUAGUGUUCCACUUGGACAAUAAUGAUAAAACAGUUGAUCCCAUCUAUACAACAGCUAACCUGGAACAAGGUACAAACUGCCCAGAGCCAAUAGACUUUACUGCAAUUACAAGAUAAACACUCUAAAAGCUCUGUCUAGUUGGGCUAUAAGCUUAUAACUUACCCUUUUGUGAUGCCAUAAAGAUGAAAUUACCCCACACAUCAUAUGAUAUAUAUAAUUCCUUUAGGGGAAUUUAAGGAGGAAAGGAAUCCAAGCUGAGAAUGAUGCAAGCCACUGUGACAAGCCUCCAGGUCACUAGAGCUUACUAGGUGUAAUGCAUGCUCUCUAUGUAGAGAUGUCUUACACAGAAAUACAGUAUCAACUGCCAAGAAAUCCAUUAUUGGUUCUACAAAAAUGCUCCAGCCUUCUUCUGAAGGUUUAAGCCUUAGUACAAGGGUAAAACAUCUUCCUAAGCAAUGAGAGUUCGAAUAAUAGAGGCAACCUCUUUGGCUGCAUAGGUUGCCUUUUGUGCUCAAUCGUCUUAGAAAUGAUGUGACACAUCAUCAACAGGUCAGAGCCACAAAUCAGCUACACUUUGGAGCAUUUGAUGUACUCAGUGACAAUGUGCAUUAAAUGCAUGAACUUGAGCCAAGUUGACCAGAGGUUAUGCACAAGGCAAAUAGCAGCCAAGAUGAACAAGUUCAGCAUCAUUAGCUCACAAUCAUUUAAAAACAAGUCCAAUACGCAGUAGCAAAGUUGGUAAAUGGUGUUGCUAUUUUAAUAACAGAAAAAUAUGACACCAUACCAGUGACUAGCUCAACCACAAACUCUGCUCACAUAGCUUGUAGUCAUACUCCAUCGAAAGCUUCGUUACUUCAUUGAAAGUUUAAUGCCAUAUUCCACUUGAUCAAAUAAUUUAUUAGGUUAGUCAAGGAAGUCAUACUUUUUAGCUGAGUCAAGUUAUUUAAGCUGUUGCUUGAAAAACUUAGUAUAUAAGGUUUGGUAGCCAUUCGUAACAAAAAUAUUCAAAAAACACCAUAUGAUAGAAAUCUAGAACUAGUAGUCCAAGGAAAAUUCAGGAUGCAAUGAAUUCUUACACAAAUAAUGUAUUUACAAACAAAUAUAUCCAAGAAAACAAAUAGGAAACUUACACCAGCCAGAAAGCGACGUGAGAAUGUUUUUGGUUGGAAUGGUUGUUUUAAGUGGUCAUUCAACUCCUGCACACACACGCACACAACCCAAAAGAUGAAAAUUCAGCAUAACUUUUCAGAUGAAGAUGGCAAAAAUAAACAACAAUUAAGUUCAAAUAGCUAUAGACACAUGUUUGUUGUUUAAACAUGCAACCAAAAUUAUUAUCGCCAAAUAACAGAAACUAUUAGAAAAUACCUGCUGCAGCUUCUUUAAUUGAAGGGAACUAAUUUUCUUCUGCUUAUAUCCAUUUACUACAUCUUCUUCACUGGCACUCUCCACCACUUCCAAGCCCAAAGACUCAGCAUUUCGCAUUAACCAACUCUUAUUGACAUUUUCCUGAAUAUGAAGCCAAAAGAUGAUGAAACCCAAAGACAACUCAAACAUCAAUGCUAAACAUUACAUGAAUUUGUUUCAUCAUUCCAAAACUAAUGACAAAAUAAAAAGAUUCAUGAGAUGGGUUAAAAUUUAAUUCCAAUACCAUAGACGAACCCUGCAAACCUAUACAUGCAUAAAAGACUAAAAGAUCAAAAAUUAUUCGAAGUUUGGAUAUAUUGUGAUACAGGCAUAUAGUAAUCAGUCAGACUGGUACAGUACGCUUGAUAUCCAUAGCACGAGGUUAAGGAUAGAUUGCAGCUCAAUGAAAUUCAAUCAGAAAAAUCAUCUAUCAUGUCAUCAAUCAGGUAGAAGAUCCAGGCAAUCGACAGACAUAACAAUAACAAUAACAUUAAUUUCCCAACUAGCUGGGUCAGCUAGUUGGAUCCUUUUUGCUACCAAGCUAUACACAAACAGUAUGCUCAGUUAAAACAAGAACAUUUAGAUUUUUAUAUAUAGUUUCUAUGAAAGACUUAGUCUCCCUCUCUCUCAUUCUACAUAAGUAAUAUUAAUUAUGUCAUCUAAUUACAACAUGUAUAUGUCUCCUUCAAACAUACAUAUAUCAUCUUAAAUGAUACUUCCUUAUUUUAUUCUCAAUCGAAGUUAUGCCUAAAUGCUCACAAAUAAAAGUAUUUUUCCAUUCCUAGCAACCCACGCAUCUGCCUCAAUAAUUCCACCUCAGUGAUAAGCCUUUUGUAUAUUUACGUUCCUAACAACCAAGACUCAAAUCCAUAAAGUGACUUACCUAGUAACUGUUUUAUAAUUUUUUAAAAAAAUUAAAGAACAUCAGAUGGUCAUACAAAACUCGAUGCCUUUCUCCAUUGUAACCAUCUAACUUUUAUAAUGUGAAUAACAUCAUCAUCAAUUCCCAUUGUUCAAUAAUCGAUCCAAGAUACCCAGAAUAUUUACCUACUAAAAUUAUUUGGCAAUUAAUCUUAAAUACAUUAUCAAUUCUUCUGUUAGCAUUAUUGAAAUUAUAUCUAAUACAUACUGUUUUAUAUGCUUAAUUUAAAACCUUCAUUUCUAAGAUUUAUAUCCAUAACUCAUGUUUAGAAUUCAUUCCAUCGGAACCAUCAUCAAUUGAAACAAUAUCAUCAAUAAAUUGCAAGCACCAAGGGGGUUUAUCCGGUAUAUGAAAAUCCAUCCAUUACCAAUGUGAACAGAACACAUAACAUUUGUCUAGUGGUGGUGUAUGAUACCUACUUACUAAGGGUUUGAGACUUUAUUCGAUAAUUAAAAAAAAAAUUUAACUACGCAGCUAGUAGAUUUUCAUGGUUGAUAGCGAGGUCUUAGGUUCAAAUCCGUUCUUCACCGUUUACCCUUUAACAAAAAAAAAGUGAAAACUUAAAAGUUGAUCCUUGAAGUAAUCAUAUACUAUCAGGUAUGCAUAUUCCCUAAAAUUCUAAUAAUAAUGAGUAUACUAUCAUACAUAUCAUUUAUAUCAUUGAUCUAAUUAGUGGCUACAUCUUUCUUUUCUAUAAUCCACUAUAAUAAAUCACUAACUAAUCUAUAAUAGACUUUUUCUAAGUCAAUAAAAACUAUAUGCAAUCAUCUCGAUAUAAAACCAAAAUGAUUCUCAAAAGUACUCAUUCCACAUAUUAUUCCACCUUCAAUCACUUUCCCAAUGUUUUCUAGUAUGAUUAAUUAUCUUUAUCAUAUAUAAUUAGAACAGCUUUAGACAUCUUCCUUAUCCUUAUAAAUUGAUACUAGAAAACUCUUCUUCCAUUCAUGGGACAUCUUUCUAAUUCUCAAAAUUUUAUUAAUCAAAUUAAUUAACCAAAUUAUUCAUCAAUCUCUUGAACUUUUCCAAACUUCAACAGGAAUACUAUCAAAUCCCGCUCUCUUAUCUGUUUAAAUUCUUCUUUUACUUUAUGUACUCUAGUUUAUAUUCUUUAAUAUUUCACUAUUGUCCAUCUAAAAAUAAGUUACCAAUAGAAUGCCCAUUAAAUAAAUAGUUUACAAAGUUAAUUUCUUAAUCAUUCCACAAGUAUCUUUUGAUCUUCAACCUUUGUGUACCUAAAUCCAUACUAUUUCUUUUUUUAGCUUUAGCAAUUCAAACAUAUCCUUCCCCCAUCCCAAUCCGAAAAAUUAUUUAAUUAUUAUAAAAAGUAUCUUUUAAAAUUUUCCUCACUGCAAUUUGUCAAUUUUUAGAACAAGAUCUUUUGGUAGUAAUGCUCAUUUAACAUCAACAAACACUAGUAGGUAAAAGAUAAUAAAUGCAUAUCAAUUAACAAUAUUUUGUAUUGGACUUAGCAAAGCUUUUACAAACAGCUAAUGUCUGAUCACCCCAUUAUUAAACCUCACUGAUUUUGAUAACUGACCAACCUUUUUGCAUCAUAUCUUCCUCUAUGCAGUUGUUAACCAACGGAUGAUAAUUUGACUAGAAGAGAUGCCAUAUUCAGUGCAUAAGUUCUCUUUUCUUUAAAUUUCAAAUACAAAGCAGUAAAUCAUAGUUCUGAAUUGAGCAACUAUCAUAUCCAAAUCAAUUAAAAUAAGACUGAAAUGCAUGGACUAACCAUAAUUAAAAGUUUGGUACCCACCCAUGUUGGUUGCUAACUGGACCCCACUGAUACAGAUCUGGUAAAUAUUGGCAUGCCGAACACAUUCAACAAUGGCAAUGCUGACCCGCAACUCACGGUACGUUGGCAUACCAAUUAGCACUGAAGAGGGUGGGAGGAGGAGGAAGAGGAAGAAAAGGUCAAAGUGCAGGAUCAGGAGAGGACUAGACGGAGGAGAAGAAGAGGUAAAGGUGAGGUGCAGAGGACAGGACUAGGUGGAGGAAGAGGAAGCAAAGGAGGAUAACAGGUCCCACGGCAGGCCAACAGUGACGGACAGCGAGAGGCACGAGGCACAGGGCUCAAGACUCCUUCAACUAGGCCUCAAACAUCUGUAGGGUUAAUACAGGUUGUAGGCAAAGAUAAACUAAUGAAAACCCUGAUCUGGACUUGAACCACCCAACAUGAGCUAGCCCAUAUCCUGGUUCUCCAUCGGACCGGUAUUUACAACCCGGUUCAUACCAGUACGGACAAUUUCACAAACCAUGGAGCUCACAAAUAGCAAGAAACUAAAAGAUAUGAAAUAGAUCAACUAUGCAUAUUAGAACCAAUACAUAAAAAAGGAAGUCUCAUGUGACAAUUAACCAAAAGAGUGUAAAAUCAUAUUCUUUUAAAGUAGAGUAGAUCUACAAAAAAAUAAAAGAAAUGACAAUAGAACUUGUUCAGAUCUUUUAGUAGAUAGAAUAAUUUAUUAUUUACAACUAAACUUUUCUCCAGUAGUACAUUAUGGUUUUGUUGCCAAGUAGCCCAAAGUUAUAUCCUAGCUUUAAGAACCUUAUAAAAAUUUCCUAAAGACCACACAAAUAAGCAUAUAUAAGUUUUGGUACCUGGGAAUUUUUCCGCAGAAUCUUGUCAAUUUGACGGGCAAGAGAUAACCGCUUCAAUAUUUCAGGCAUAUAAGAAUCAUCUACAGGAAAUUGUCGAAGGCUUUCCUGGAAACAGACAAAAAGUGAUUAAGUUCUUUGAGAUUAAGUUACUGAUGCAAUCAGACAGAACGAAAACAAAGUAUCAUAAACAAGCAUAAAUAUUCUACCGUAUAUUGUAAGUUGCUACAAUAAAUAGUGAAUUACAUAUAAAACUAGUCCCCGAGCUAUCCACAAAUGUCUUGACUCUAGUUACUGGGCUCAACUAUUAGUCAAUUUACAGUACAGAGUACGUGAUCUUGUACCCUAAAUGAGGGUUGUUACGACUAAAUUUCCUGCAAAUGAGGGCAAUUGCUAAAAUUAGGCAUAAGCUUGAGAGACCACAUAAUGGCAUCUUCAAGUUGAAAUUGGAUCUGGCGCUCUAAAUUACCAGGGUAUGAAAAUUUGAGAACCUCAAUUUGACGAUUAUAGCAUUAGUACUUUCACAAUGUUAUAAAAUUAUUACCCGCAUUAACUAGAUCGUGAUGCACUUAUAAGAUAAGUAUUAUGGUUUGCUCUAUCCCUCUAAAAGCAGAACUAGGACACAGCAAGCUGCAACUUAAAAAUACAUGUAUCACAUAGAAACUAAAGAUAUCACCUUAGACAAUGACUUGCACAAGGCAAAAAAUUUAGUUUUAUCACUAGGUGAUAUCAAUGCAAUACAGCAGCCAUCUGCAGAAGCACGUGCUGUUCUUCCACUUCUGUGAAUAUAAACCUAAAACAAUAACAAUAACAAGCUCAAGUUAGUAAUGUUAUAAUUAUGUUUAACAAGGAACAUAACCUAGUACAUACCUCUGCAGAAUGUGGCAAUUGAAAAUGAACAACAGUUCGGAUGCCAGGAAUAUCAAGGCCUCGUGCAGCAACAUCAGUAGCAAUUAAAACACUAUGCUCAUUUCCACGAAAACGAUCAAUUGCCUGAUUAAGCAGCAGUGUACAUAUAAUAUGAUCAGAUAAUAAUCGAUACUAAGUGAAUACAUCAUGAACAGUAAAACCAACAUUUGCAUAUUCCAUCAGCAAAUCAGAGUUCCAUCUUUAAAACCAAGAAUCUGGACUGUCAUCUUAAUACAGGUUCCACACAUUAUUCGUCCCAACCCUAUGAACAUGGCAAGCUAAAAUAAUAUUUAGCUAUAAUGGCAGGCCUACAAAACCCAACAAGUAUAUUCCAAAUAUAGGAGCACUUUUGACAAGGACUGUAAGUCAAUUUCGACUGUUAUGCAAACUAGUGAGGUAUCUAACUAUAAUAGACAAGCAAAUCAUAUAUUCCAUUCUUAAAGUAGUUACUAGUUAGUACCUUCAAACGGGCUCUUUGUUGCAUUUGAGCAUGAAGGGUCAAAGCAUUGAUGCCAAGAAUCCGCAAUAUGGAAGAAAUGCGUCGUACAGCUGCAAUCGAUGUACAGAAAAUAAUAGUGCGACCUUGGCCAUGAACACUUAAUAUAUAAUAUAGAUAGGCCUCUUUAACUUCUUCUUCGCAUCUGCAAGUUCCAGAAUGCUUUCAACACUCGGUAAUUUGUAUUAAUUCAUCAUCAAAUUUACAUGAGUAACCAAACAAUAACUAAGCAUCUCAAGUAAGAAAAUUUGAGCCUAGAAUUUUGGGAUUCAUGACGAGGAACAUGUCGAAAUGUUCUUUUAUGAUGUUCGACAUAUAUAGAAAACAUAAUGACAUAAAAUUCAAUCUCAUCAUAGAUGAGAUAAGAAGAAUUGGUCAACUGUAUACAGAGACCCAAAUAUUGAUUUCUACAAAUGAAACACAGAAAUCCACACACUCAAUAAUUGAGCUAACUAAACAUAACUUACUAUGUUUAUGAUAGAAAGGGAGACAAAAGAAAUUGUAAUGCGCCAAAUGAAACAUGUAUCUGUUAUGUGGCAGUCAGGCCAUUGUAAGUGGUGAUUUUUCAAGUUACAGCUACUCUCUGUAAAAUUAUCUUAAAGCAAUAUCAUGGUCUCUGUUCGGUUUAUAAUAAGGUCAAAUUGGAAUUUCUUAUUCUGGAGUUGUGAUUACAAUGAUUGCCACAAAACAUUCAUGACAUGCUUCUUCGAACUUGUUAACAAACUGAAACUUAAAAAUAUAAGAUGUCUCUCGGUGCUGAUAGAAAGUCGAAAUUCACAGACCCUAUUAGGAAAUGUCAAUGAAGCACCAAAUUUUCCAAAUUGCAUCAUAUUAUUUAUAUUGUCCUCCAUACCUAUUUUGCACUAUAACUGAUGGUUGAUGGUAGCAAAUACAUAAACGCAAUUUUCUUUUGAUGAAUAAAUUCUAAGAACCAUUGAAACUAACUCAGUUUCAUGUCUGGAAGAUCAAUCACAGAAACUAUUUAUUUAUUGAGGUAAUUAAAAAAAUAUUUAAAAAAGAAAGAUUUGGAUAUGGUUUCUAUUAUUUUUGAAAAAAAAAAAAACAUAUGCUAAAGUUCAUGGAGAAAGAGACCAAGAAUCAGAUCGCCCUAUUUUGGGCAAUCCAAGGUAGAAACAGGGGUAACGCCCAAAAACCACCAAUACUAACAUUCGUCUAUCAAAUUGCUUCUCAUGCCAAAAGAAAAAAAAAAUUAUUAAUCCUCUUAACCACUACAUUUUUUUUACUUCAAAAAGCAUUUCUCUUUAAUCCAUUUUGGUGAUUGACCUCUCUAUUAAGAACCUCUUUAUGCUCAUAUAAAAGGAUCUCUGUCUUCAGUGUAUGGAGCAAAUAGACCUGCAUUUAAAUGUUAAAAGUUUCUACCCAGAUGCACCUGUUAAGUGCCAUCUGCUAAGAGCAAAUAAGAAAGGACAAAUGCAGCUAAAUUCAAAUUGUUGAAAUUUCCUGACAGGUAAAUAUAAUGUAUGUCCCAUUAUUGUUUUAACUUCAAAAUACCAGUACCAUGCUGAAAAUUUGUUUGGCCAGGACAAUAUGGUACACCAUCGUAACAAUACCAAAAUAACAAAAAUUAGUCGCAUGUGUUGGCACUAACAUCCCGGAUGAUCCAUCAGUGUUUUGGUACGGUAUCAAAAGCCAGUAUGAUAUUGAUGAUAUACUGAGGUAUUUAAAACCACAUCUCCAACACCAACAAGUUUUUAGCAUUCAUAAAAGGUUUUUGAUAAUAGACAAUAACCGAAGCAAGUUUGAAAGGAAAUAAAUUCUCUCAGCUAGAAAUGACCUACAUCCAUCUGCACAGCAUACAUAAUAUUUGAACUUCACGAGACAACUAUGGUCAUGGAAGGUAUUUUUGGUUGCUCAAUAAAUAAAUAUAGACAAAACUACAAAAACAUAACUCAAAAUGUCUAAUAUAUGAGUUCCAAUAUGACCAAAUCACAUGAGAUUGGAAAAAGAUAAGAGGGAAUGAUUGCAGAAUUUAACACCCAUUAAAAAAUCUAAAUAAAUCAGGAUACGGGACAACGAGAAUACUCGAGGAAUGAUUCUUCAAGUUUAUGAGCCAAAAUUGCAGCAUUUGUCAAAUCGACUAUUGCAACGUCAGGUCUUAUUCCAGCUCUCUCUGAAAGUGUUUCUAUAGAACUUAGCCCAUCUGACACUGAUGGUCUUGAACUAGACAAUCCUCUCUUGAGUUUUCUGCGAAAAUUAUCAGAUAAGGUUAUUGUGGCAGAGAACACAAAUGUCUGUCUUUUCUUUCGCUGUAAAGUUGGAAUGGUUUUGCAUAUUGCAGUAGGUUUUGAAUUUUGCUCCAUGGAUCCAUUUGUCAUUGGUAACAUGUCAAUGAUAGAUUGCAACUCAUGAAAAUGGCCACUCUCUAUCAUCCUAUCAGCCUCAUCAAGCACGAAAAAGGACAAUGAGUGCAGCUGUAAAAUGGCACACUAGUGUCAGCAAAAGCAGUGAAAAUUACAGAAGCUACUAGCAGAGAAUAAAAGUCCAUGUUUGAUUCUAUCUGAAGGAUAAUUAAUUUGCAUAAAGGACAGUCACCCGUUUGAGUGAAAGGAUAAGUUAUGAGUUCCACUAUCCAGCUUUUUAAUACUACUUCAUGUGCUCCAACAACAGUAGAAAUAUACCUGCUGCUCAGUUCUUAUGAUGGACAAGAAAGUAGUUUAGUGAUCACAACAACAGUUGUGUUGUCAAAAGAAUAUUUUGAAAAAAAUAUAUAACAAUAAUUUUCGGUGGGACCAAAAUUCUGAAAAUUUAACAUCAGCUUUUGGUUGAAAUGUCUGUCAAUACUAUCAUUACUACAACUUAGCACACAAUAAGACGCACAAUCAAUCAAGCAGCCGUUUUGAAGUUUUCUAGCUGUUAAUGAGCUACAUGUAGAAGUAGAACAUCAAAAGUUUGCUAUGCAGAGACAAAAGCAAUCUUCUACAAAUAUAAAUAACAUUUUCCUUGCAAACAGUCAAUUAGUCGGCCUAAUCAGUGAACCUGAUGUGUUUUAACAAAAUAUUUUCUUUCUCCUUCCAUGUUAGGUUAUCAUCACGUUGUUUUGUCUCCACACAAGCUGGUGUCCUCACCAAUAUAAUCAUACAAUGAUAGAAAGAAGUUUACUAUCCACCACCAACUAAAGAAUUUUCCAGCUAUGAGAUCACAAUCUCUCAAUGAACUGCUUAAAUUGAGAUUUACUAAAUCAGUUAUCUAAAUGGAAGGAUCCCCUUAACAAUAUGUGAACUUGUCACCUCCAUAUUUUAUUUAGAAGAAUCAUUAGGUCAAUUUCCAUCAUUACAUAGUGUCAAGUAUAUUUAUAUCAGCCAUAAACUAUGGCAAACUAUGUAUGUGCUAGACAAAUACAUCUCAAUAAAGCAAUGUUCCCACUAUAUGCAGAUAUCCUCGGUUUAUUUCUGGAUACCACCAUUUCAUUAUUGUAUUUAGUAUUUACCAUCUUUUUAGUAUUGUGUUUAAGAUAAUAUGAACACAUGCUAAGGAAACCAAUAGAUGAGAGGUGAAAUUAUUACAAUGGAGAGACAAAGAGGUAGGGGAAGACUUAAGAAGACCAUAAUAGUAUAUAGAUAAAGAUUUAAAUGACUCUUUAUAGAUAAGGCAAAAGAUCCAUGUAACCAUUAACCGAUUCCAAAUAGUUAUGACGUUACGGCUUUGUUGUUGUAUCAUUUUAGUACUGUCACAAAGACAUAACACUUCCAAAAGUAAAUUUAAAGCUUAGAAAUUAAAGCAUACCAUAUCAUCCAAAAAAAAUUAAAAGACGAAGCCAAAGAUCCAUGCAAUCUACUCAAGUAUGUAUAAGUUACAUAUCUAGACAUAAUAUCUAAUUUUUAAAUUUACUAAUUGCUUUUAUAUUAUUUGAAAUAAAAGAAAGGUUGUAAGAAUCCAUGGCUAAAGCACAGCCAAAAAAUGAUUUUGCUAAAAAAUGAAUAAGUUUUCCUCAUUAUAUGAUUCCUACAUCUCAACUCCUGAGCACAUAAUAAAUAAAUUGAGGUCCCUUAAAAUUCUUGCAAUCAAGGGGAAUACAACAUGGAAAAAUCCACAAAACAAAAGAUGCAUCAAUUUAAUGUUAUUUUGGACUAUGUUUAACACUUUCCUAAGCAUGACCAACCACAACUCCCAAAACUAAGUGCAGUAAACAGUGUUGUUACCCUUCGUCAUCUUCCCCCAUACAAAAAAUCAUAAUAUAAAAUCAAUUAAUUAAUAAGAUUGCUUGGAGAAUCAGAAUUGAUGAAAUAGUGACAAAAAAUGACCUUUGCUAAAGCAUCAGUGAUACUAACCUCCACGAGGUGUUGCUCUCCAGCUGACAUAAGCUCCCAUAAGCGUCCUGGAGUUCCAACAACAAUCUCUGGCCUCCUUUUUAGAAGCCUUUCCUGUUUUUCUGUGGACAUUCCACCAACAAUAGGGACUACUUGAAUAUCAAGAAAUUUUGCUCCUCCCUUCAGAUGAUCAGAAACCUAAAACAACCACCACCAAGCAACUGACGCUGAAAUAAAUAUAUAACAGAUUCCAGUGACCUAUCUAUUUUCUAAACAUGCUUAAAACAAACACAAGUAAACUGUAGCUGAUUAUAAUAUUGUAGACAAGAAAGAAAUCAAUAAGGAAUGGAGAACAUAGAAACAUAUAGAUGUCAAUCUUGUUGUUAUGAACUGAAACAAAAAUGAAGUGUUCCAAGUAAUAAUAUUUGCCUCAAUCAAGUCACAAAUAAUAAAAAUUAAAUAAACUAACACGGAGACUUCCAUAGGCAAACAAUCUUAAGUUCAUAAUUAUAAAUGAGAUCUUAAACCUUUGAACCAACAACUUCCACAGAUGAAAAUUGACCAAAUAAAUGACCCAACCAAAAUUAAACUAAUAACUGAUUCUUAAUUGAACCUCCCAAUUCCAACAAAAUGCACAACCUUUUUUUAUAAGCUUCUUACUGUGAUCAAGGAGGCAGUACCACACUGUGCAUAAUGAUCACAAUCUAGAAAACAAGCGCAAUCAUUAUACAAGAAAGUUGCCUAACAUGGGAAGGAAAUGGACCAUGCAUGAAAGAAAUUAAGUUUCAGAUAUAUCAACAGUGCAAAAUAGUUUGACAACUCAAACAUGAUUGUACCUACUCUUGUUAUUUGCCUUCCAAAGACUCCAAAAAAGUAAAACAAAACAAUCAAUUUAUCUAGUACUAAUUAAGUUAUUCCCCUUGCUCCCUAGAACUUAGAAACAUAAACAAGGGAAUUGGAUUCAGAAGCAAGUCUUAAACCUUCUGGUAGCCAUCUGAACAAACUCAUCAAUUUGAUGUAGACAAACAUAAUCUCAAAUUUAAUUCUCAAAUAAAUUAAAUUCAAAUACUCUGAUAGAAUAUACCACUCCUGUCAAGGUUUUCUGCAAUUAAGAAGGCCUCUAACACAGUCAAUGAGAAAGCUAAACUUCUAAAUUAACUAAUUUUAUUGCAUAAAAGAACCUUAAUUCAAGCAUGAACAUUAAGGACUUAUAAGAAUCGACAAGAGCACGAAGCUCCAACCAAUCUGGGGUUUAGGGAGGAUCUCAACAUAUGUAGUCCUACCCAUGUCCGGAGCCAAUGCAAGGUCUGGAAAUAUGGCCAACAGAUGAAGCCUUACCUUACAAAUAGAAAUUGUUUCCAUGACUUGAACCCUAGUCAACCAACUUGCAAAGAUGAAAGAAGCAACCUUAUUGUUAUGCUAAGGCAUGUCCUCACACUAAUGCCCAUGACUUCUAACUCGAAUAACACUAUAAACUAGUGAAGAACAAUACUUUAUUUGUAUAUAAAGUACACUAGAAAAUAUCAUCAAAAUUCUCCCACAACUAGAUUGUGAAUGUUGUCACCAAUGUUUCUUGAAUUUGCAUUAUUGGUCAGUCAUAAGUGUUCCAAAACAUGGCUAGAUUUGUCCAUAUAAUCUAGAGAACUAGGCACAUGGUUGGAAUCCAACGUCAUCCAAGUCUUAUAGUAGCAUCCUUAUCUAUAAAUUGCUAACAAAUUCUAUAUCAUGUUUAAGAAAUGUAAUCACUAAUCCAUUAUCCAAUAUAAAAGUUAGUCUCCGAACUUUCGCCUCAAUGCUAUCUCCUCUCCAAAAUGCUGGCAGAAAAAAAAAAGAUACAAGGAAAAAGGAACACAACGACAAACACAACCACAUUUUCCUAAAACGUUAAAUUCAAAAUAAACUAAAAAUGUAAAUUCAAUCGUAUCAAAUUGUUUAAUUUUAUUUUUCUUUUCAAAAAAGAUAGUUAAUUCCUGUGCAAGCUAUUAUGAUGUAGGUAAUAGGUAAACUAAAACACUUUUGGAAAUAAACAUGGGCACCUGUAAUGCAAGUUCCCUUGUAGGAGUGAUAAUUAGUGCUCGAAGAGGACCUCCACUGAAAACUUUCUCAUCUGAAUUUCUAUUUUCAUGGAUCAAUCUACCUUCUUUCUCUCUUUCUUCGAGGAGGCGCUGCAAAAUAGGUAGUGCGAAGGCAAGUGUUUUCCCGGAACCUGUCUCUGCUGCACCUAUGACAUCCUAUUUCACAAUAAAAGUAGGAGAAAUUGAUCGAUUAGGUCUCAUAAAACAUUAUAACUCGUGAAAAGGUAAAUGUUACUACCUACAAUAGAAAAAUGUUACCUAGGUCAAUUUCCUCUUAGCCUUGAUCUGUUUGGCCUAUGUCAUCAAUUAUCAACUACUAACUAACUAAUGAUUGAUUAUCGAAACAGGAAAACACAAAGUUACCACACAAAAGGUAUAGUUAAUCUGUCAGUUGAAUGUGUGACAAAACUAAUUCUAAAGAAUCCAACCUUUCCUUGAUGGGCAGCAGCAGGAAUACAGGCUUUUUGUAUUGGGGUGGGUUCCUUGAAACCAAGCUGACGAAUUGACUUGACAAGAAGGGGAUGAAGCCUCAACUCUUUCCAUGCAUAAACUUCAUCCUCAUCCAGAAUCAAAUUUUCAUUACCAUCAUCACCAACAAAGUUAUUGUGAUGCUUAUCUGUCAGAGCAAAAACUUAAUCAUUGGGAUCCAUAUUUCUGAAGAGACAGAGGCAGAGGUUUGGCAGAACUCUAUCCACAAAACAGUUGAUUUUAUAAUUUUGGUAAAAAUGAUACAUCAGAUAUUGUGACCAAGAAUCAAAAUAGCAGAAACAAGUCAAUGCUACGAAUGAGAAAACGUUAUAUGUUCUUAUCCUGGGUGUCAUAAACCCUAAACCACUCAACAGAAUCUGAAUUCAUAAAGAUAAGAUUGCAAAGAAGAUAAAUAAUUGUUAAAAAUAAGUGUUAAAAUAAACAAUUUUAGCGAACAAAAUAAUAAAAUUAUGCAUUUUUAAUACUAAAUUCAUGUUAACUCUUAUAGGAAAAAAGGAAGAGGUUUAACUAGACGUACUUUUGUCUCUUCCCUCCACCGUGGAUUCUCCCUUCGGCUCCCCACUUUCAUCUGAAACUCCCUUCCUCUUCUUCCUUCUACUCUUCUUCUUCUUCUUCGUUUUGUUUUUAGCCUCUUCCUCACCUUCAUCGGCAUCAACAACACAAGAACCAUCGGACCCUCCAUUCUCUUCCCCUCGCUUCCUCUUCUUCGACUUCAAGUCGGAGUACAGCUUCUUCUUCUUCUUCUUAUUUCCAGCUUCGAGAUCCGGAAUCCCGCCAAUGAACCCGUACUCCGACUCGUCUAUCUCCUCCAAAGAAAGAAACCCUAAACCAACAACACCAGAGAAAAAAAUUAGAAACCAAAAGAAAGAAUCAAAUAAUCAUAUCGUAGUGAACACGAUGGAUCAAGAGAAGGCGAGGAGGAGGGUAAAGGAGACCUCCUUCGCUGCUUUCACCAAGGAGCAAGAAGGAGUCAUCGGCAGCGAGGGACCCGUUCCAAGGGAGCGAGUCCAGCUGGUCCGACUCUGGACCUUCUCCUCUCCUCGGAGGCUUCGCCUUCUUCUUAUCUUUUCGCUGCUUCUUGAUCGUGUUUCCCGGCAGUGGCGACGAUGGCUUGUCCAUCGCGGCGUCGAGAACGAGGGGGCAGCGUGCGGCGGAAGGACGAGAGUGGCGGUAACGAAGGGGAAAUAAAGCCUAAUCGUGAAACGGUUUUAAAUUUCAUAUAUUUUACGUCCUUAAUAUCCAUUAAAAAAUAAGUUAAAUCAUGAUUAUCAUCAAAAUUGGGCGAAUUCGUGGAAAAAAAUUUACUUUUAAAAUCUUUGAAUAACACAUUUCAACUUUAAAAAUUUUAAAAUAAGCAUCGGUAACUAUAUCAAAAAAUUAUCGGAUCCAUAGUCGCCAACUCGAUCGAUCAAGCUAUUGCACACCUUCCUUUUUAAAAUAGCAUCCGUGACUAUAUCGAUCAAGCUAUUGCACACCUUCCUUGUGAUCAUCUCAUAAGAAAGUGACAAUGAAGGCAAAUGCGUGAACCUCUCUCCCUUUCUUCCUCUCCUAUGAUUGAUAAUGAGAGCACAUGGAUCACAUCUCUUCUUCCUCAUCAUAAUCAACGAUGCAAGAGGGACUCGUGGGCAAAGACGAAGCCCCCCUAUCUUUCCUCCCUUAUAAUCAAUAACGAAAAUACACGAUUGUUCAUUCUCUCAUUUUUCCUCUAUAGUUAGCCUCCCUCCCCCCCUUUCCUUCCCCCCUUAUAGUCGACGACAAGAACUAUAAACUGAGGAGAGGGGGUGAGCUGUAAAUAGCAACAACGAAAGCAAUUGAUAAAGGAGGAAUUGAUUUAUCAACAAUGAUAACAAUAAUUAUAAAUGAUUAUUUAGAGGGUGGAAGGGGGCUACCUGAUGAAGUAGAGGCAUGAACAGGUGAUGGUCAAUAGGAGUAAAAUGAUCAUCUUAAAAAAAUAACAAUGUUUCAAAAAAAUUUUAAGUAGGAGCGUCACGUGAAAAUUUUUGAAAAGUAUUUAAAAAAAAAACAUCAAUCAAAAUUUAAGUUACCUAAAAGAUUCUCUAUUACUUCUAUUAAUUAUUAAAAUUUAUAUUUUCAAUAUAUUCAAGGAAAAUAUUAAUAUAAAUUUAGCUUUUCAAGUAUAAUAAGCGAACAACUAUAAUCUCGUUCCUACAACUAUAAUAAGCUUUUCAAGGAUAUAUGCAUGCUAAGGCAAAUAAAAAAUUAUUAUCUUUUGAAAAUAUAUAUAAGAUGAAUUCCCCGAUAAAAUUCUUCGCUUUUGGUUUUUUCUAAAUAACAUCCUUUUUUAUACGAAAUACCCCUGUUUUUGGAUAUCUCAACAUCAUUCUUCUUCUAUUUUUCCUCAUCUUUCCUUGAUUUUUUUGUUUGGGUUCAAUACAUCAACUUAUCAAGAAUUGAUCCAAUAAAUUAAACCGAAUCAAGUAAAUAAUAAAAAAGAUUAUAAAGAUGGAAUCGAUUCAUCAUAUGACUAGAUCUAUAAGAUGCGGAGACAUAAAACUAUGAUGGAUGAUAUCGAGAUAUUCGAGAAAAGAAAAAGAAUGUACUCAUAUUUUAGUAAUAAAAAUAAUAAAUCGACUGAAAUGGUAAGUGCAAAGUAUGGACCUUAUGUGAUAUUAAUAUUAAUUAUAUUUUUUAAUCGUAACCUUAAUAAAAGCAUUUGGUCUUUUAUCACCAUUAAACUGAACAUAAGGUUAUCUUAUUUUAAUGAUUUGAUUAAUAGAUCAUAGCCUAAGGAAUGACAGGAUUUAACCAAACCUCCCGACUCUGCAUUAAGAGGUCUUCUAGCAAACUGUUUCUGGGUAAUUUGGACGGCCAUGAACGACUUUCUAUUAUAUAUAUAUAUAUAUAUGUAUAUAUAUAUAUAUGUAUAUAUAUAUAUAUGUAUAUAUAUAUAUAUAUGUAUAUAUAUAUAUAUGUAUANNNNNNNNNNNNNNNNNNNNUAUAUAUAUAUAUGUAUAUAUAUAUAUAUAUGUAUAUAUAUAUAUAUGUAUAUAUAUAUAUAUGUAUAUAUAUAUAUAUGUAUAUAUAUAUAUAUGUAUAUAUAUAUAUAUGUACAUAUAUAUAUAGUUCUUAAUAAGUAUUGAAAAAAAGACAUAAAACCAUCCUUUCCAGUACUCCCAAAAACUCGUUCCACUGUGUCACAUGUCCUGCACAUGUUCAUUUAUGGCCAAUUCUCCACACUUGCCUUCCCGUUUGUGUCACGGAACAAGUUCAAUCGACGGCUGAGAUUGAUGCUAAGUUCAUGUUCUUACCGUCGGGCGUCAUCGUCGCACCACACCAAAUAAUAUCUCCGGGCCAUGGGAUUGGCCCGCUCAUGAAAACCAACGGUCGAGAUUUAAGCUCAACUCACGCAUACCGACGGACCUUAAGCUGUGCCGUCUCCUAUCUUCCCAAACUUUGUAUCCGUACGAAAACUUCUAUGCGUUUAAGAUCAGGAACCUUGCUCUUAGUUUUAACGUUCAUGAUCCACUACUUACCUUCCCGCAUAUAACUUACGACGUACAGUGAACCUGGUUCGGAGUUAAACGGACCGAAUGCGAAGCUUUGGUUCGGAUCCGAGCCAAGGGAGUUCGAGACCAGGCAGCGGUUUGAUCUCCCCUCCUCCCCCUCUCCCCUUCUCUCUCCAUUCAUUGUAAAUGUGGAACUCCUCGCCUUCGGUUUUAUCACAACUCGUUAACAUACUCUUUCUUCGAUCCCCUUCUUCGCCUCCUCCAUCCAGAUCUCCAUAUUUUCUGUCUUUCUUUGGGCCUCAGAUGUCGGUCGUGAUCCGGGAAUUAUAGAGGAGAUGGCGGUCUGAAGGUUGGAUUCCGAAAUUCAUUUGCUCGCCUGCGCGUAAUCUGCAAUCGUGGGGUUCAUUUGUGUUUGUUGCUGAUCCUAAUUUUGUUUCUUGCCUCCAACUGGAAUUUCCGAUGUUGAUACGGGUUUCUGUAAUGUAGGACGUGAUCUCGAUAUUUUCUCUUGGAUUCUCGUUGCCUGCUUUCUGCGUCUGGAGUUUGUUGGCCUGGUUAGCUAAUUUGGCGGCGAAGAUUGAAAAGAAACAGGAAUUGAGAUUGAUCGUGUACAGUGUCGUGGAUUGGAGCAUUAAUUAUGGCUCAGAGUAACUGGGAAGCGGAUAAGAUGUGAGUAGGACGAACCUUGAUUUUCUUUGUUUGUGUUUCGGAUUUUGAAUUUUGGAAUUAUAUGCUUUGUUGGUUAUUCUGAAUUCUCCUUCAUUUUGAUUCUUUCUUGUUAGGCUUGAUGUUUAUAUACAUGAUUAUCUUUUGAAACGAAACCUGCAAGCCACUGCCAAAGCUUUCAAGGAAGAGGGAAAAGUUUCGACGGACCCUGUGGGUGAGUAAACUUCUUUCUCUAUGCUGUUUCUUAUUGAUACUUUCUUUAUAAUCAAGCGGGAAAGAUCUAUUGAUUUUAUUUUUAUUAUACAAAUUCCCUCAUAGGUUUUAAGAAGUGGUAGUAUUUGGCAAUUCCUGGGUAUUUAACUAUCUUGAUAAGAGUUUGACAUAGGGUCGGUUUGGAUAUCUGCAAAUGUGGUGUUCAACAUUACAAAGCCGCUCAAGUGCAGAUUCUAAAUAUCUUUUACUAUUAAAGAAAGUAAACUAAGUAUCUCAUGUUUCUUGCUGGUGGUGAACAUGAUUUCGUGCCACAUAUGACUUCAAAUAAAAUUCAACAAUACAAUUACUGUUCUGUGCAAGAAUCAUGCCACAAUUGACUUAUAAAGGAAUCAUCCAACCAAUCAGAACAAAUUUUCUUCAACAUCGUAAGAAAAUCAUCUGUACAUUCAAUCAUUUUUAUUUAGAAGAUUCACACUUGUAUUCGGACCAGUUAACAAUGUAACUUGGGUUGAUUUGCAGCAAUUGAUGCUCCCGGGGGCUUCCUAUUUGAGUGGUGGUCUGUUUUCUGGGAUAUCUUCAUUGCUAGAACAAAUGAAAAGCAUUCUCAAGUAGCUGCAGCAUAUAUAGAGGUAACUUCCUGGCAAUGUUUUGUCAUUUGCUGGUUCACUUGAUGGUCCAAUUGAACUUCAAUAUAACUCCCAGACACAACGGACAAAAGCAAAGGAAGAACAUCAAAGACAGUUACAUAUGCAGCAACUGCAAGUCAUGCAGCAGCAACAUGCUCAAAUGCACCGAAGAGGUGCUAAUCAUCCUGCAAUUGGUGGGACAAUAAAUGCAACAAACACUAAUGGCAAUUUAGGCCCGUCAACAGCUAGUUUAUUGGCUGCUAAGAUGUAUGAAGAGCGCAUGAAACAACCACAGUCAGUGGAUACUGAAAUAUCCCCACAAUUUCUUGAUGCUAAUAGAGUUGCGCUUCUAAAAUCUGCAACCAGCCAUCCAGGGUAUUGACUAAUGUUUGAAUCCCAUUGUUACUAGGAUCGUUAGUAACAGGAACCAAUGACUUGUUCUUUCUAAACUGAUGAUGCAGGCAGUUUAUCCAAAGCAAUCCUGUCGGUGGAUCUGCUGCCAUGCAGCAUAUUCAGGGACAAAAUCAACAGACAUCUGUAAUCCCUUGCACCAUUUGUCCCUUUUUUCAUUUAUCUUUCCUUGUAUGUUUAUGUUCAUUCUGUCAACUUACGUGCAACUGUUGUGGAACAUUAAGGGUGUCAUGGGUGCAGAACAAAGAUCUUUGCAUAUGGAUCCCUCUUCACUGUAUAGCCAAGGAAUUAUGCAGGCAAAAUCUGGAUUAAGUGGCGCUGGUAAGCAACUGCUUUGGAAAAUUCAUAAAAUGAUUUUGUCUUGCACAUGUCCUUUCAAUUAUAUAACAAUUGUUCAUAUAUAAAUCAUGAAAGUUUGGCAAUCUUGGAUUUUCAAAUAUUGCAUGAAGGGACUAUAUAUCAUUUCUUUUGUAUGCAUUUAUGUAUUCAAAACAUAUGUUACAAACCAUGUGCCAAUCAAAAUCACUUCAAUAAUAAUUUCUUUUGUAUACAUAUCAUUUCUUUUGUUUUAAUUUGGUAUUUUGUUAUAUUUGAAAUCAAAAUCACUUUAUUAUAAUCAAUAUUGAUUGUAUUAGCCAAGAAUAUAUGAGAGAAUACUAAAUCAAGUUUUUUUAUUUUUCUGGUGUACCAUGUGCCAAUAUGCCAUACACGUUGGACCUGUACUGGUCAGGGCGGGGCAUGGAUUAAUACAAGCCCAGUACCUGAAAUUUGAUUCCAUGGUAACAAAUAUCUAAAAUCUGCAACUUGCAUUUACUUGCACUUGCUUUUCCUAUUUUGCAGGGAUGAACCAAGGUGUUAAUGGUCUUCCACUAAAGGGCUGGCCUUUGAGGGUAUUAACAAUUGCUCUUUUUUAAAAAAAACUUUACUUUUUCCUUUUAUUCGACAAUGUUUCCUGUGUACUGAUUUACCAAUUUGAUAGGGAAUUGACCAAUUACGCCAAAAUUUUGGCUCACAAGUAAACAAACCGUUUGUACCAAAUCAGAGCCAGUUUCAGCUUUUAUCGCCAGACCACCAACAGCAAAUUUUAGCACAGGCCCAGGCACAAAGCAAUACUGAUUCAUCCAACUAUGGCAUGGAUCCGCGCCGGCUUCGAGCCUUGCCUAGGAGUGAACUUGGUGGAAAAGAUGGCCAACUCAAUGGAAAUGACGCAUCAAUUGGUUCUCCUAGUCAAUCAAGUUCGCCAAAGGUCAGACAGGAUCAGGCUUUCAUGAAGGUUGGUUCUGUUAUGUUAUCCUUAAAAAGUGAUAAGAUGUGGAACAGGUUUGAAUUUAACUUAGGUUGCAAAUGUAGAUAUGGGUCAACAAACUGCAAAGAGCAGACUCAAGCUGCAUUUUGGGUGCUUCCUUGUGUUUUUUCUUCUUUUGUGUUUGUUCUUUUUCUUUUUUAUUUUUCUGUGUGUGCAUGUUGGGGAGGUUGGAACCUUGCACUCUUGCAUAUAUCUGAAGGUGACAUAUCAUUCAGCCUUCUGUUUACUUCUACAUGGUACCUUUGUUAGCUUCCUCAUCAUCGACUUUCAAGAUCUAUUUAUUCAUUUCACUCAUGGGCAAGUUGUUUGUCAUAAUUUGAAUUGAUUGUUUACGUAGACCAGUCACUAUUAUUUGAUGAAUAAAAGGCAAGAUAAGUAGUGUGGAGAGUCAUAGGCCUGCUGAAUGUAGUAACAUAUUGUAUACCAUGACUGUUCUGGCAAGAAAUGGUCUAGUAAAUUAGGAACUUGUGGAGACAAAGUCCUAAGAAGUCAGAGUUUGUGGAGUAAAAAUUUAACAGUUUACAUGCUGAAAUAUGGCUGUAUGUUGUUAAGGUUUAAGACUUUAAGGUCACUUCUAUACAAUUUUGAGGAUUUUUAGUGGAUUUAUCUAAAGUUUUGUAUCUCAUAAACAGAUAGUUGGAUCUUAAUCAUGAUGUUGAGCAAAGAAGCAAGUCUUAUGACAGUAUAAUACUAAUGUCCAAAAGAUGUCCGAUGGGCUAGCAAAAAUAUAUGGAAAAUUGAUUUUUAUGUCUAUCUUCGAACCAGUCUGAAUGCUAUUAAAAUCUCUUAUGAACUUUUUGAUUGUAUCAUGGAUCAAGUUAUGGAUUUUGUUGAGGUCAUAUGAUCUAUACUUGACUUUGUUUAAUCUUCUAGCUAAAACUUAUAGUUUCAUUGAAUAUAUUGAUGCUCUUGAAGUGUUGGCAUUGUUUUGUGCUAACUGGAUACGGUUAGUAUAGGAUUGAUCCUGACUGGCACUGCCUCUGCCAUCCCAGUAUUUAGUUGGCAACAAGUAAAUAUGUUUAAUAGGAAAUUGGGAAUAUCUUUAGCAACAAGUAAUUAUGUUGAGGUCAUAUGAUCCAUACUUGACUUGGUUUAAUCUUCUAGCUAAAACUUAUAGUUUCAUUGAAUAUAUUGAUGCUCUUGAAGUGUUGGCAUUGUUUUGUGCUAACUGGAUACGGUUAGUAAUAGGAUUGAUCCUGACUGGCACUGCCUCUGCCAUCCCGGUAUUUAGUUGGCACUCUACUGGCCAACUAAAUAAACUUUUGAUUACAGUAUUCUAAUUUUCUAAUUCACAAUAAUUAAUUAUUUUAAUAUUCUGAAAUCUCUGAUCUCUUAGCAGCAAUUAUCAGACGUGAUUUUACAUAAGAAACACCAGGCUUGUGUCUAGGCCUAUUUGGACUUGUUGCAGUCAUAAGAUUUUGAUCUGGCGGACCGUCACAUAAUGAUACCACUAGCACACACAAAAUAAUAAUUAUUAUUAUUAUGUGAACUUAGGCUGUAUUUCAUGGUAGGUAUUAUCCUAAUUUCAUUCAUAGAAUAUUCCAUUAAUAUGCUAGUGAUUUGUCUGCAAUCUUGCUGCACCAGAAGUGCAGAACUUUGGUACAAAUAGUGAGACUAAACAAGUAGUGAGUUCCUUUAAGAUAUGAAAACUGAGUUACACAAGGUGUGUGGAACUGUCAGAUGGAAUCUUUGAUUUGUGUUACCUGCAUCAAUACCAUUUUAACAAAAUUUGAUAAAAGACCAAGCUACUUUUGAUUCUAAAUAGGAUCAGGAAAUGCUCAUUUACAUGUAUUCAACUCUACCCCAACAUCAAAACCAAUCUAUUACCAGGUCACAUAGACUUAUGCUUGGAAAUGUAACGUUAAGCAAAAUUCAGGAAUAUCUCCUCACUCCAAACAAACAUGUAAAUAUAGAGUACAAAAGCAGAAUAUUUUAUGGCCUCUGCCAUCCCGUCAUCCUAACUUCAUUAUAAUAGACAUACUGAAGAAAAUGCACAGGUGGUGUCUGCUCCAAACAUCUCUGUUAUGUCUAUUACUGAUUUAGCAGAAUUUAGGAUUAUCAAUUUUUUACUCUGAAGCACAAUUGUAGGAACCCAUGCAAUAAUAUUUGUCCGAUGAUUAGGCUAUCAGAUCUUUCUUUUUUGGCUGUCAUAUUUUAAGAAUUUAAUUGAUGUAAUUUGAAAUCUACAUUCUAUCUCAAACAUGUAUAUAUCUGUGUUGUAAUUAUCUCUUUUUGCUAGUGUCUACGAGAUCAUAAUUUCUUCUGAACAAAAACUUCUGACAUGUUUGGGAAUAAAAUGUCACUAAACUGUAAAAUGAACUAGAAACCUUAGCUGCAAAUUUUCUGUUCGGUUUCAUGACAGAUUCUUGAUUAAUUAGGGUAUGUAACAAGUCAUGUUAUAUGUUGAAUACUAAUUUUUAAGAUUCUUGACUUGCCAUUUUACUCAAUGUUUGGAACCGUAAGGAGAUGCUUGAUGGUAGUUGUCAUAAUGAUAUAGUUCCUUAUUCCUUCUUUGAGUUUACAGUUUUCCAACUUCAUGUGCGCGCUUAUGUGACUAAUUAAUCUAUCAUUAACCUCUACGCUACUAUAUGUAACAUACGCCUCCCUAGCAAAAACAGCAUUAUCUGCUUCUCUAACGCUUGUUUUUAAUUUUUAACUCAACCCAGAUGCAGCAGUCAUCUAAUCAACAAACACAUGAACUGGUGCAGGAACAACAACUGCAACAGGUAUUCAUGUAGAGUUCAUCUCUCUCCCCCUCUCCGUCUGUCCCUUUCUUCUCAGUCUUCCUUCCCUCCUCUUUCUGAGAAUUUAUACAUCUUUCUAAAUUCAAACUGAUUGAUAUUGAAAAUUUGCCCACAACUCCUAGAAUACCAGGAAGAGAAAACCUAGUACUUCUGGAGCUGCAAAUAGUACUGGUACAGGAAAUACUGUUGCACGUUCUGCUAACUCUCCUCCAUCAACUCCUUCCAUUCAUACAACUGGUGAUGGAGUUUCGAUGGCUAGCAACCUGCAAAAUGCAAGCACCAUGUCCAAAAGUUUGAUGAUGUAUGGAACCGAUAGAGCAGGUGGACUUGUUUCUUCUUCAAAUCAGAUGGUAUGCCCAAACACAACUCUUUUAGUUUUAUUAUCAUGAAAAGUGGAAGAUAGUGAUUUAGUAACAUCUAAUUAAGAUAAUGUGAAUUUUUUAUUGUAGGAUGACCUGGAGAAUUUUGGGGAUGUUGGUUCUUUGGAUGACAAUGUUGAAUCCUUCCUUUCAAAUGAUGAUGGAGAUGGAAGGGAUAUAUUUGCUGCAUUGAAAAGUACUGCCGAGCACAAUGUGGAAUCUUUGAAUGGUGCCUGCUUUUUCCAACUGUUAUUCACCUUCAUAUCCCUAUCAAAUAACCAUUAACAUGUUCUGCAUCUCCCUGUUAGGUACGUUUAAUGAGUUUGGUUGCAUACGUACCAGUAACAGCAAGGUAGUUGCUUGUCACUUCUCUUCAGAUGGGAAGAUGCUCGCUAGUGGUGGGCAUGAUAAAAUGGUAAAGUAUAAAGUGCAAAUUUGUGAAUUUGUUUGUUUAAACUUUGAUGUAUAGGUUGGUGCUGCAUAAGUACUGUAACUUUUUCCCACCCAAUAUAGUUAUCAAGUUCCAUGUUACAUAAUUAGCAUCUGUUAUUUGAAAAAUCAAGAAUGAGUUAUGUUUAUCAGACCAUACUUCUGUUACAAAUCCACGAACUAUUUCCUAUUCUUUAAUGUUUUGAUGUUGCCAGUCAGGAUGCUUGAAAAUGAUUCUUGUACAACUUUCUCAGUGACUUAUAGAAGGUGUUAUGUCAAUCUUAAAUUGAUUGAAAAACAUACAUUUUAAAUUUAUCUACUAUUUGCCUGCAUUUGAAGGGUAAACAAAAUAUUACUUGACUAUGUACCUAUUCUCCUUAUGACUGUUUAAGCAUGUCGCUAAGUUGUGAAGGAGAUUACAUACUAGGUGAAUAAUAAUUGUUUGUGCAUUGUUUAAGUAGCAUCUAACAUUGCUACUACUAUAAAAAUAUUAUUAAACUGGACAUUCAACUAGAUAAAUGGUGCAAUGAUGCAACCUUGUUCUCCUUCUAGGUAGAUGGGUAAAUUCAGUGAUUCAUAUUUUCAUAAGACAAAUUACAGUUGGCAUUGCAUGUCAAUUCUGUGGUAUUGCAUGUGAACAUUUAGUUGAACUUCCAAUCCUCUUGUGUAGCUUUGAAGAGAAGUUUCGGUGGGAUUAAAGCAUUAGUUGCUGUAAGUAUGCAAGUCCUUGUAGCAAUUAAGGACUGAAGAGCGCAACUGCAAAUGGGAAAGUUUAAAUGUCUUUUUGGCAUGCCACCUGUGUUGGUAAUGUGCCGACAUGAGCCAACAUAGCAUUUAAAGCACUAUUUAGCAACAAGGGCGAAACUACUCUUGGGAAAAGAAUACCAAGGUAUUUAGUGAUUGCAACAAUAGAGUUCCACAGAAAAUUUUGAAUCUGUUUCCCCUUCAGUAAUUGUAAUUUGGGUGAAUGAAGAAGGAAUUUAAGAAUUAUAAUUCAUGGGAGGGGAUGAAAGGGGUCCUGACAAUGACCAUAAUUCUAACAGUAUGUGUUGCCUCAUCUGGUGGUCCUUGCUACAUAGUAGUUUGGUCGCCGACUCAUUCACCGUUAUCCACAGGUUUCACCUUAAAUCACUGUCAAUGAAAGGAGAGUACUAGGGAGCACUAGUGUCACGAAGUUGGAGAAACCAAAAUUCAUUCAGUUGCAAAAUACAAUGAUAUCUUGCCUUAAGAAAUCAUAAGUUGGUACGGAGGUUGAACAUUUCUUCAUUUGACUGCUAACGGCUUGUAGGGAAGCGGAACAUCUCUUUGAUGAGAUCCUUGUGUGGUGUUACCAUCAUAGACAGAACAUUGGAACGUAUAGAGGUUGUUGAUUGUCUAUGGUAGAUGUGAUAUGUGUAACAAGGGAAAAGAUGAAUGAAGAAAAUGCAGAGCCAAGAUCUCUAUUUCUUUACCAUGGUAAAAGCCAAUUCCACUGGUAUUUUUGGCCUUUAAAAACUCUCCCAAAUGACUGACGAUAGAUAAUUCCAUUCCAAAGUAAAAUUGUCAUGGAAACUUGUAGUGCUCCAAUAUUACAUAUUUACAAACAAGUCUAUUGGUUGUCAGCUAACUUUAGGGUUCCAUGUUGAGAUCAUGUCAGCAUCCCAUUGUACGGUCAACUUAUCAAAACUGUUGAUAGUUCAAAACCAUGGCCUAGGAAUUUGUAAAUGUUGUUUCUUGUUGAGAAAUUAAAAAAAGGAAAGAGUGCAUUAUUCGUUUAAAGGGAAAGCAUGCAUCUCAUCUAAUUGAUGCAUGCUAUCACCCUUCUCUACCCCCUCCUUUCUUGUUCAUCUUUGCCUCCUGUGUGGUAGCAGUAGUCUGGUUGACUUCAAGAAUUAAAGUUCUGGCAUUUCUAGUAACUGUAUGCAAAUCUUAAACCUGAAUAUGCAUUUUACAUGUUGACGGAGUCUUGAUUUAUUCCGUAAAGUUAUAUCAUAUGGAACACAUGUUAAUGACUUAUUAAUAUUGCAACUAGUUAAAAUAUAUUAAACAAGUAUUCCUGUCUCCAAGAUUAUGCAUAGUCCAUUAGCUGUCUUCUAAAUAAAAUUUUCUGCAAUGUACAGUAGAAAGUAAAAUGCUACUGUUGAACUCAUCAUUAAGUGGCCAUCAUAUGCAUUUUGGCAUGAUGGUAUUGUACCAGUACUGAGCCAUUGAAUUCGAAAAAUAGACAACCACAUGGUUUGUUUUAUCGGUCUAUACCAAUGCACCAACCGGCCAUUGGUAUAGUACAUACUGAACCAUACCGACGUAUUAAUGCCUGGUACGGUGGGGCGUACUAAUAAACUAGUAAGUACCAGCUAUACCAGUCCCCUGUCAGAGGUACAUACCACCCAUACCGGGUGGUACGUCACGACACGGCGAACCUUGGACAAUCAUAUGUUAUCUCACUUGAUUCUAAAGAAAGAAGUAAAUCUGGUAAAUGAAAUAAGUAAAUCUGUACUUAUUCUGUUGAGAGAUAUGAGGAAAACGGAAGUGUGUCAUAUUUGGGAGAUAUUAAGCUUCUAGCUAACUGUAACAAAGGAUUUUCUGAAUUUCAUAUAAGAAACUCUUCUGUUUGUUCUUCAUGUACAAGUAGGGUUUCUUUGCUUUGGUUACAAUGGUGUUCUUCUGUUUGCUGAUUCUUCCAUUUGUAUCCAUGUUGGAUAUUAAUAACAAACUUAACUGCCAUGGUUUAUUUUGCAAUUGUUUAUCUAGAAAAAAUCGGGUUCUUACCAUCUAAUGUUCUAUCUGAUAGGUUGUUAUCUGGAACAUGGAUACACUGCAAACUGUGAGCAGUUCCCAAGAGCACUCUCAUAUCAUUACAGAUGUCUGUUUUCAGCCAAACUCAAGUCAGCUGGCAACAUCAUCCUUUGAUAAAACUGUUCGAAUAUGGAAUGCAGCUGAAGUAUGGUUUUUUUAACACCUUUACUUACAUUGUAGGUUGUUAGUUGUUUAUAGUUGCUAAUUAUUGCUGAGAUAUAACUACAAAAUACAAUGUACUAAAUCAUAUCAAAUUUUGUGACCUCAAAUUAUUUCUAAAAGCUUGUUUAGUAAGAUCUAAAAGUCCGAUUUUUAACAUCUUUUUAGGUCAUGCCCUUGUUCUUCUAAGUUCCAACCAUUCUGUUAUAAAUCUGUCUGCAUUUUCCAAGUUUGAUCUUUCCUUUGUUCUGACUAUUAAUUGUUAAGUCACAUCAAUUUAACAUCUCUUAACUUUUUCACUUAAUGUUUGUUUCAUUUUUUUUCACUAAACUUUUCACUUAAUUUAACAUCUCUUAAGCUUUCUUCAUUUCUAGCCAUAUCCCAUUUUAAAAACUGUAAGCUUAGAGCCAUUCAUAUGUUAGUUCUGUUUAGAUGUUAUGGUUACUUUUAUUAUUCUUUUUAUGCUUAUUAUGUUCCCUUGUUUCUAUUGUAGUCAAUUCAUUGUCUAAAUACUUUCACGGGACACGGCUCACAUGUAACAUCACUUGAUUUUCAUCCUAAAGAGAUGGAUAUCUUCUGCUCUUGUGAUGACAAUGGUGAGAUUAGGUACUGGAAUGCCAACCAGUAUUUAUGUACCCGUGUUUCUAAGGUUAGUUUCAUAACAUCUUUAUUUAUUUUCUUGGUUAAUCACAAAGUUCAAGUUUUGGAAUCUUUUUUUGGUGAACCAGGGUGCUACGGUACAGGUAAGAUUUCAGCCUAGAAGUGGACAAUUUUUGGCUGCAGCUGCAGAAAAUGUGAUUUCUAUUUUUGAUGUUGAAACACAUACACCUACACGCACAUUACAGGUCAUUUUGGGCAAACUUCUUAACUUCUAGAAUACUUGGAUCAAUGUUUCCUUUCAUUGUUUGACAAUCUAUCUUUAUGAAGUACAGGGCCAUAAGAAGGAGGUACAUUCUAUUUGCUGGGAUGCAAAUGGCAAUACUCUUGCUUCUGUUAGUCAGGACCUAGUUAAAAUAUGGUCUUUGCAUACCUGGGAUUGUAUCCAUGAACUAAACUCCAAUGGUAAUCCGUUCCAUUCAUGUAUCUUCCACCCAAGAUUCCCCCAAAUUUUGAUUAUCGGAGGCUAUCAGGUAAAUGUGUCUAUCUUAAUCAUAUAAUGUUGUCUAGGUAGUUUGCAUGCCAUACAUGAAAGGUGUACAAACAUUGCAUUAUUAUCUUUUUCUAAUAGUUAAGUAAUCUGCUUUUACCACUUUGUAUUGAAUUUUGAUAUCAAGAUCUGUUUACAAAUAUGCAUGGUAGCCAAUUAGCAAGCAAACUGCUAGAGGCUAUAUGAAUAGGCUCCUGUCAGACACUAUCCUAAUGAAGUCCUUGUUUAUCAUGCAUUCUCCGGAAGCUGUUUAACCAUUUAGAGUUUAUAAAAGUCUUAAUUAGAACCUUAAACAACCAUUAUGGAAUUUUGCUUCUGAGAAAAAUAUUUUGACCAUCUAAUAACAAAAGAACCUGAAAGUUUUAAUGCUGUUGCAGAACACUGCUUAUGGCUACUUUAUAUAGCUGCCUUUUAAACCUCAUCCUGCUUGCUUUCUAAUUUAUUGAUCCAACAAGUGUAUUUUGCCUCUAUGAAGAUUGGAAUUGUUAGAAAACUUAGUAGAAAUCUCUGCUCACCAUCAACAAAAUGUCACCUUCGGUUACAAACUUCCACCAUAUGUUUUCUAAGGUUUCAAAUGUUGAGAAAUCUUAUCUAGUGUGGAUACUUUCUCAGUAUUCGGCAAAUGAAUACAAUUUAAGUGGUUUCUCUUAAUUGAAAGGACAAACAGCUUGUAUAUGGGUUCCAUUGCUUGCUUAUUUCUCUUCCGAUUUAUGCAGUCGCUGGAGUUGUGGAACGUGAUUGAGAACCAGACCAUUUCAGUCCCAGCACAUGAAGGCGUUAUUGCAGCUUUGGCACAAUCACACUCAACUGGAAUGAUUGCAUCUGCUAGCCAUGACAAAUCUGUUAAAAUUUGGAAAUAAUGGUAGCAGUUAAACCCUGUUCAUGACACUUUGUUAAAUUUGGAGCAGGGAAGGAAAAAGAAAUGCUGAAAGAGAUGAUGGUCGUAUGGUGCUCUUCAUUUAUCAUGUUUAUAUAUGGCCUUCGUUUCAUCUGCAGUGUAAGCACAAUAAAGUAAGAGGCCGAUGGUCUUUUGUGGGUUUCAAUUAUGUCCCUUUGUGUGAAAGAUGCAACUUCUCUCAUCUAGGGAGCCAGAUCGGAGAGGGUACAGAAGAGAGCACAAUAUUUGGUUCUUUUACUUCAUUCUCGUUUUUUUCCAUAUAAUAGCCUUCAAAGAUGUGUAUAAUAUGGGGACUCAGACUUGGAACAUCAAACUUUUUUGGUCCCGUGAAAAUCUUCAACCAAGUUUGAUUCAGAUGAACCCACAUUUGGAUGACAUAAUGGACAUCAUGGAGAUUGCUUGUUUAUUACGGGUCUCACAUCUGUUGCAGAGUGAUUUGAUUUAAGGAAUACUUGUUCAUGCGCCUGUGUCAAGAGACUGGUUGCAGAGUUUGACUUCUUCAGUUGUGUUGAUAGUAACAGAAGCAGAUAUGAUAUUCCUCAAGAUGCCUUGUGAGUACUUCUAAAGAUUUGUUCGCAGCAGAGUAAAUUCACAGAGGUGUUGGGAACCUGAAAUUGUGAGUACUCACAAGAUGCUUUGUGAGUACUUCUAAAGAUUCGAUUCUCUUAACGUGGUCAAUUCACAGAGGUGCUGGGAACCUGAAAUUGGAGUUGCAGUGAGAUGUUGGAGUUAAUUCGGACGACAGGUGCUGUUCUGUUCGAGGACUUUACAUUUGAUCUUUUAUGUUGUAUGCUACAAUGGAUGCCUUGAAGCAUUCAUAGGAUGUCAUAUUUUCUGACAUUUUCAUUCUGCUCAAACUUAUAUAUAGGUUAUCUUUGCCAUUUUGGCUUCUUUUUUUUUUUUUAGGAAAAUGACUUCAUUAGAGUCCAAGAUGGUUAGCGGUGUAUGUUGGAAACGAACAACGCAGACCACCUUGGCCAGCAAUAGAAUGUCUCCAUGGAAACUCCUUAACGCCGGACACAUAUCAUUAACAAGAUUUAUCCAUUCCAGAGAGCGUGUACAUGUCAAUAUGUAAUUCCAUCCUCGAGCUUUAGCUCUGCUAGGCGCAUCCAGUAAUAUGCUCUACCUUCAGCUUGUUUCGGGUUUUGAACGUUGCAGCUAGCACAGCCAGCAGCCAUCAGGAGUCCUUGUUUGGAUUGGACAGUAUGCCCCGGACCUGCAGCAUUAGUAGAAUAAGCAAAGAACCAUCACAUUCUAUAACUGGUGCAUAUUCCCCCUCGAUGUGAGAUUGUAUGCAAAUGGGUCUGAACAAUCCUCUCAGGGCAUUGGUUACCUCUCACGAACACACAUGAUAAGAUAUGCUUGCUCAAUAGGACAAUAAGAAGACCGGAACAGAUAUGGUAAGACAUGGUUGCCCAAGAAUAGGAGAAGAAUAAGAGGAGAGAGAGAGAGAGUUAAGUGCACCCGGAUAUCAUUGGCAUUCGGAGAUCAGUUUCUGUACCAUCCGAGACGCCAUUCAACUUGCACUGCCGGGUAUGGUUUGACUUCCGGCGUCCUGUGGUCUCAUUUGUCAGACCAAAGUCAAAACCAUGGCCACAGUUUUUCCUCUCUCUCUCUCUCUCUCCCACCUUGUUGAGACCAAGCUCCGUAACAGUAAGUAAUAUAUAUUAGCCUCUAAGUGUGAGGUCGCAUUUACUGUAGUCGGGUGGCUGAUGGGUUGCAGUAAAAGGUACCAACUCUUACCGUCUCUUCUAUCUCUAUAUAACUCUCGCCAGCUCUAACUCAGUGCGAGAACAACCUUUUCCUAGUCGGGGGUCCUUAAUUUGUUGUUGUUGUUGUGCAAUGAGAGUCUCUGGUGGGGCGGCUCGAUGGCUUGUGACCAUUGUUGCAUUACUCCUUGUUUCCUUGGUUUAUGAAGCCACUACCGAAGCCAGUGGUGUGGGUGAUGAGAAGAACUUCUAUGGCCGUCGGCAUGGCUACGAGGGUGGCCUCGGCCAUGAUAUCUACAGCAAGGGGUUUAGGCAUGAGUUUGGUCAUGGGAGGCUUGGAAGUGGUGGAGGCUUAAGUGGUGGUUUUGACGGUGAAGCCGGAGGUGGACUCGGUGGAGGAGCUUGUGGCCUUGGUGGUGGAGCCGGCGGUGGGCUUGGUGGAGGUGGUGGUCUUGGCGAUGGCGGAGGGCUCGGAGGCAUUGGUGGAAUUGGAGGUGGAGCUGAAGGAAGCACUGGCGGUGAAUCCGGGGGUGCACUUGGAGGAGGUGCCGGAGCUGGAGGAGGGAUUGGUGGUGGAGCAACGGGACGUGGCUUCGGUGGUGGAGUGGGAGUUGGCGGGGGCCUUGGAAGCGGCGGCGGCGGGUUCGGGGUUGGAUUCGGGGCUGGUGGAGGGUUUGGUGCAGGUGUUGGGUUUGGCGGAGGCUUUGGUGGAGGGUCUGGUGGUGGUGGUGGAGGAGUAGGACUUGGUGGCGUGCCGAGGCCGGGUUCGGAGGUGGUCACUGAUAUGAAAGCAAAUAUCAACAGUUCUUUUUGUUGGUCGUGUUACGUGUGUGGAACACAACAUGGACAAAUGUUGAACGUAAAAAGUGUGACUCAAAAUUGGCAUCCGUUAAAUAUAUUUAAUUAAGAUAUAUUAUAGAUUUGAUUAAAUUUUGAUGAUAGUUAUCAGUUAAUUAAAAAUUUUAAUUCUAUUGAUAAUUAUCAACUAAUAAAAUAGUUUAAUUAUAAUAAAAUUUCUUAGAAAAUGAUAUUGACCGGAGAAACUCUCGUAAUCAUUUAUUUUAAAUUUUUUGCUCUUGUUUAUAAAUAGAAGAGCAAAUGUGUGGAUACAUUAUAUUAUUGAAAGAUUAUAGAUCUUCUCUCAGCUGUUUUUAAUUACGUAAGUUAAUCAUUGAGAAAUUUUAUAUCUUUUAUUAUCUUUUUUUUUCCCUAAUCUAGCGCUAAUAAUGAUCCUUUAAAAGAUAGGAGAAAAGGCGAAUUUAGUUCUCAUUGCAUAUGUACAUCACUUUGGGUUUUGGACCCACAAUGUCCUUACAUAUCAAAUAAAUAUGAUUUAUUACUAUUUGAUUUCAAAUCUGACAUUAAAGUUUUUCAUAUAACAAUAACAUAUUAUGUUUUUUAUGUUUACAAGUAGUAUGGAGCCAAAUUUUUUAAAAUCAAACACUUUAGAUCUAUUUAUUAGCACCAUUCACUUGUGAAAAUGUAUCAUUUGGUUUUGAUUUAUAACGCUUCAAUGAUUUGUGUAUAUUGUUGAUCUAUCUUUCUAUUUAAUCCAUCAUAUUUCCUACUUGCGGGUGAUGCAAGGUUUCUUGGAUUUGAUUAAUGGACCACGAUGGUAUUAUUGAGGGUGACGGUCUUCGAUGAUCAUCAGCCCAAUCGUGGGCAAUAGUUGGUUAUGCAACGAAAUCACCGUGGAGUGCGAUAGCCCUAUGGUGGGUAUAUUGGAUGCAAUAUCGCCAUUGCAUAUGAUCGUUGUAGUAGCACCGUUGCUAGUGGCAGCUACGAUGACUACAAUAGUGUCGCUGUCGAUGGCAGUUACAAUGAUUGCAGUAGUGCCGUUGCGACGGUUGCGACAAUGUUGUUGCGGUGGCAUCUGCUGGUCGCGGGCCUUGUUAUUGGACACCAAAGCCCAAUGGUUAUAUUGAGUAGAAGCGUGUGCAUAGUCGCAUCACGACAAUGGUGGGGCCACUAAGCAGCGUGUGCAUACAACUGUGCAUGGGCACUGACGACACAACACCACACAUGCGAUAAGUAAUGUUGCCACUAUAGGUGGCAACAUGCGGUGCACAAGCGACGAUCACAUAAUGCGACAAACACAUAAACGAUUAUUGCACACCGUAGCGAGCGCACUGACAGCAACUAUAGAAAGAGAAAUAGGGUUUGAAUUUCAAAAUUAUGGUUUUACCCUUAUAAAUUUUAUUAAUUCUAAUUUUAUAUCUUAUAAAAUUAUAGUUUUAACCCUAAGAAAUUGAGAAUUUCUACUUUGUGUCCUUAAUUAUAAAAUUGAUCAAUAUGAUUUAUUAUUAAUCAAAUAUUUUGAUUGAAUCUAGUAUUUUGAUUGUUUGAUUGGAUUUAGAUUUGAUUAAUUAAGUUUUGAUAGAAUUUGAAAACAGUCAAAAUUUUGAUUUUUUUAACUUACUUAAUUGGACUACUUUUAACCCAAUUCUAGGCUUACCUAAUUAAAUAGGAUUGAUCGGUCUAAUUCAGGAUUUCAUGCAGUAUUAUUAAAAAAUAUAUAAAUUAUGAUAUUCUUUUAUAGUUUUCUCAUAUGACAUGUUUUUGCAUGUGAUAAUUAAACUCCAAUUAUUGUUUUUAGGUAUUUGUUUAGUUAUUUAGAUGUAUAUCUUUAAGAUUAUGAAAUUAUAUUUAUUCUUUACAUAAAGACAUGAUUUAUAUUUUAUUAUGAUUACAAUUAUCAUAUAGGUUUUAAUUUAUGUAGAUUAAUAUUUAAUAAUUAUCAUGAUUAUUAUUUUGUUAUUAUUGAAUUAUUUUAACAUAAAUUAGAUUAAAGCAUACUUAGUGAAUAUUAUUUAUAACUUAUAUCUCUGAGUUUUAUAUAACUAGUAACUACCAGAUAAACUUAUAAGAUAUAAAUUAUAAUAAAUAUUAUCAUUUGUAGGUAAUUUGUAUUUUAUAUUACUAUAUUAGUUUUUUAGCUAUCAAAGUAGUCUAGACUAAUAACUUAUAAAAUUAUAUUAAGAAAUUAGUCCUAAAUGAUAUUUAAAAAAAUAAUAUUCAUAAUUACAUAUAUAAUUAGGAGAUUUAGAUAAUCUUAAAAGAGAAUCUACUUCAAAUAAUUAUGUGAUGGGAUAUGAUGUUAUUGUUUUUCGAUAUCAUUGUAGCUUAAUGUUAUAUACACAAAAGUAACAAUACUAUUAUAUAAAAAUGGUAUUAGUUCUCCGAUAUUCUAUAGAGAUAAAAGUCUUAAACAAGGGAAAGAAAAGCUGCAUACUAAAUUUCUUCAAGAUUCAAUUAAUAUAUCUGUUUUAAGAUAGUCCUAGUAAUUCCUGACAUCUAUUCUUGAAUAUCUUAAUAUUAAUAACAUAGGUUAUCUUAUUUAUAUCAACUAUUUUAAAAUUCUUGAUGAGAAAUAUCUUGGUUUUAUGCACUAAACUAAGAUUGUUAUUAGCAAGCAAAAUAUCAUUCACACGUAAGAUUAAUAUAAUAAACUUGCUAUCAAUAACUUUUAGAUAUAUGUAUUAAUCAAUAAUUUUUUUAAAAAAAUUUGAAAGAAGUAAUAGUAUUAUAAAACUUUAUAUAUAAAUUUUCACUAAUCUUUGAAAGCUUGUUUAGAUUUUCUAAAUCUUUGAAAACUUUAUAUAUAAAUACAUUUUCUAAGUUUACAAGUUCAAUUUUCAUAUAGAUUUUAUCAUCUAUAUCUCCAUUCUAAAAUAUUAUUUUCAUAUCCAUCUAAUAUAACUCAAGAUUAUAAUAAGAUACUAAUACCAUAAUGAUCUUUAACAAAUCCUUUUUAGAAAUUAGAGAAAAAAUCACAUUAUAGUUGAUGUCUUUUUUUUAGAAAAAUCUUUGAUCACAAGUCUGACUUUAUAUCGUUCAAUAUUGUUCAUUAAGUCACGUUUUAUCUUAGAGAUCUAUUUACAACUAACCCUUUGACGGGACAAUUCAAUGAGUUCUCAAAUACUAUUCUUGCCUAUGAUUUUUAUUUUUAUUUCAUCACAUCAUAUUACUUUUCAAAAUCUUUAUUUUCUAUACACUAGUAACCUCACAAUUGUUCUCCAUGCAUAUAUAUAUAUAUAUAUAUAUAUAUAUAUAUAUAUAUAGAGAGAGAGAGAGAGAGAGAGAGAGAGAGAGAGAGAGAGAGAGAGAGGCACACAAGAUUUUAUUUAUUUCGUCGAGCACAUCAUCAAGGAAGAGCGACAAUCCGUAGUCAGUUCUUAGGCCUAAACUCGAUGCCUUGAACGAUGAGUCCCCACUUCCAGUUCAUCUCCGUCACCUGACGGAACCUGAAGCGGACACUUUCUUCGUAAUCAUCAUUGAGGAACUCUCCCAUUUCGAUCUCCAUCCAUCCGUCAUCUCUGGCACGGGGGAUUUGUGUGGUUGGAUCGGUAGUCCUACGUCUCCCUGGUUUCAGGAUUACUCUGGUUUCAGAUACAUGAGCUCCAAUACUAAUCGAUGCUUCUUGCACCGGGGAUUGAAAUCCUCCCGAAUUUUCCUGCAGCUGAAAGAUGAAGUAGGCAGCAUAACAUGUUUUAGGAGAUAGCAUGGUACUUCUGAUUUCGCCACCAAGAUCUAACCAACAGACUUGCAUGAGCUGAGCCACCUCCGCAAACCUGUGACACAAAGACGAGAGGACAUAAACAAGGGGGCCAAACAUUUGCUCUGUUGAAGUUGCCCAUGAUUUGGAAGGGAAGGGAAGCGAAGCGAAGGCAACGUGGAAGUAAAAGCACAAUUGCAGGAUAUCAGAACACACCUCGAUUCAUAAUCGGAAGUGAAGGUCCAGUAUCUGUUGUCACCGCCCCAAGUAAUCCAUAGAUCUCUAGAGGAUACCAUCAAGCAGUUCCUGCCAGUUGACCUCUCCAGUGCAAAGCUCUGCAAUUCCAACGUCCAUGCCAAUCUGUGAUCUCCCUAGGGACUCGUCGCGGGUAACAAGAUCUAACCAAUUUCCUGCACAUGCGUACGCUACACCAACGUAUCUUACAGAGAGACGAUUACCUUGUUGCCGCCGUCGAUGAGGAUGGGAUCGCAGAGGCGGGAAAAGAGCUCCUUCUUGGAGGAGAACUCGAUGGGAGCCACCGCCCGUGGUAGGAUCUCAUCGAUAUUGGACGGCAGGAACCGCUUCCACAGCUCGUCCGACGACGAAGCUGCUCGGAAGAGACGGGAGACGGCCGAUGAUCUGCCGGCGUCGGCGGGGGUGGUGAAGGCGAGCACCUUGGAGACGACGUCGCUCGGCAUUUCAUCGAGGCUCUUCACUGCUUCCAUCUUCUCUCGAUGUCUUCUUUGUUUCUUGUCACUUCUUGAUCUAUUUCAAUUGGGCAUGAGAUGCCGACCGGGUCGCCGGAGAGUUUGACUUCGACGUUCGGGAAACUUCCCGGAAUUCCACAAUUGGACGUGUCACUCCCCACAGUUACGACAUAUGCGGACACCCCCUCUCCUCUCUUUUGGAUCCGUGCCAGAUCAGCGAUCACUGCUUGUUGGGUCCGGCCCACGGGCUUCGACUGGAUAAUAAGGGCAUCGAGUCUGAUCAAUUACUAAAAAAAUUGAGGUCGUUCGCAGAGGUGGUCGAAGGGAAAAAAAA
rnacentral:lncRNA from 1 species